rnacentral:lncRNA from 1 species
CUCUUUUUUCUGGCUGGAACCAUGGAGGGUGCAGAAGAGAAGAAGAAGAAGGUUCCUGCUGUGCCAGAAACCUUUAAGAAAAAGUGAAGGAAUUUCACAGAGCUGAAGAUCAAGCACCUGAGAAAGAAGUUUGCACAAAGGUGCUUCAAAAGGCAAGGAGGAAGCUUAUCUAUGAAAAAGCAAAGCACAGCCAGGUGCAGUGGCUCACACUUGUAAUCCCAGCACUUUGAGAGGCCGAGGCGGGUGGAUCACGAGGUCAGGAGUUCAAGACAAGCUUGGCCAAGAUGGUGAAACCCCGUCUCAAUGAAAAACAAACAAACAAACAAACAAAAACUACAAAAAUUAGCCAGCCACAGUAGCAGGAGCCUGUAAUCCCAGCUACUCAGGAUGCUGAGGCAGGAGAAUCGCUUGAACCCGGGCAGCAGAGGUUGCAGUGAGCCUCGAUUGCACCACUGCACUCCAGCCUGGGCAACAGAGAGAGGCUCUGUCUCAAAAAAAAAAAAAAAAAAGAAAGAAAGAAAGAAAGAAAAGAAAAGAAAAGAAAAGAAAAGAAAAAGAAAAAGAAAAAGAAAAGCACUGUAACAAGGAAUAUAGGCAGAUGUACAGAACUGAAAUUCGAAUGGCCAGGAUGGCAAGAAAAGCUGGCAACUUCUAUGUACCUGCAGAACCCAAAUUGGCAUUUGUCAUCAGGAUCAGAGGUAUCAAUAGUGUGAGCCCAAAGGUCCGAAAGGUGUUGCAGCUUCUUCGCCUUCGUCAAAUCUUCAAUGGAACCUUUGUGAAGCUUAACAAGACUUCAAUUAAUAUGCUGAGGACUGUAGAACCAUAUAUUGCAUAGGGGUACCCAAAUCUGAAGUCAGUAAAUGAACUAAUCUACAAGCGUGGUUAUGGCAAAAUCAAUAAGAAGCGAAUUGCUUUGACAGAUAACACUUUGAUUGUUCGAUCUCUUGCAUCAUCUGCAGGAAGGAUCUGAUUCAUGAGAUCUAUAAUGUUGGAAAACGCUUCAAAGAAGCAAAUAACUUCCUGUGGCCCUUUAAAUUAUCUUCUCCAUGAGACAGAAUGAAGAAAAAGACCAUCCAUUUUGUAGAAGGUGGAGAUGCUGGCAACAGGGAGGACCAGAUCAACAGGCUUAUUAGAAUGAACUAAGGUGUCUACCAUGAUUAUUUUUCUAAGCUGGUCAGUUAAUAAACAGUACCUGCUCUCAAAUUGAAUACAAAAUAGUAAUAAUAACCUCUCUUUCUCACCGUACACUAAAAGCAUUUCCAAAUGAAUUACUGAUCCAAAUGUGAGAAGUAAAACAAUAAAGCUUUCAGUAGGAAAUAUUUACAGUAGACAAAAAUUUCUUAAACAGGACACAAAAAGUACUAAAUAUAAAAGAAAAAAUAAUAAACUGGACCACAAUAAAGUUAAUAACAUAUGUUCAUUUCAUGAAAAUGCAUCAUAAGGAGUGUAAAGAGACAAGACACAGACUGGAAGAAAAUAUUCAUAAUACAUAUAUUCCACAAAGGACUCAUAUUCAGAAUGCAUAAAGAACUCUUACAACUCAAUAAGAAAAAGGCAGAUAAUUCAAUAGCAAAGAUGAGGCAAAAGACAUGAAGAUUCACCUUACAAAAGAGGAUAUCCAAAUGGCGAAUAAACAUAUGAAAAUGUUCUAGACUUCAUUAGCCAUCAAGGAAAUGCAAAAAACAAAAACAUAACGCCCACAAUGUGACACUACCACAUACCUAGCAGAAAAGCCAAAAUGGAAAAGACAAAUAAUACCAAAUAUUGGCAAAGGUAUGAAACAAUGGGAAGUGUUCUAUCUGCUGGUGAAGAUAUAAAUCAUUAUAACUGCUUUGGAAAACUUUUUGGCAGUGUUUAUUAAAGCUAAACAUACUCAUACCCCAUUCCUUGGUAUUUCCCCUUAGGUAUAUACUCCACAAAACUGGGUGUAUAUAUUCGUCAAUAGAUAUGUACGAGAGUAUCCAUAGCGGCUUUAUUCAUAAUAGCACCAAGCUGGAAACAACCCAAAUACCUUGUACAGUAAGAUGGAUAAAUUGUGGCAUAUUUAUACAAUAUAGAAAUAAAUUGCUAUACACAACAUGGAUUAAUCUCACAUACAUAACAUUGAACAAAAGAGGACAGACACAAAACAGUGUGUAUUUUAGGAUUCUACAUAUACCAAGUUUCAAAACAGGCAAACUAAUCUAUGAUGCUGGGAGUUGCCACAGAGAUUACCCUUGAGAGGAGGAGCUAGUCAACAGAAAGGGACCCUGCAGGGGCUAAUGUUCUAGGGUGCUCAUAAUGUUAUUGAUCUGUGUGCUGAUUACUCAAGUGUGUUCACUGGGUAAAAAUCCGUGGAGCUGUACACUUAGAAUUUGUGCACUCUUCUGUACACUUGCUAUACUUCAGUGAAAAGUUUAUAACAUGAAAAUAUAAACACAAACUACAUUUAAGGAAUAAAGUCCAUGUAGGAAAAUAAAAAAUCCAUGAAAACUGCUUUGCAAACUCAAAUCUAUAAAUGACAGCAAAAUGGAUAGCUUCUAAUUAUCCCGAUUAUUCUCUUCAAAAUGAGAAUUUGUUGUGGGGUGGGGAGGAGGGAUAGCAUUAGGAGAUAUACCUAAUGUAAAUGACGAGUUAAUGGGUGCAGCACACCAGCAUGGCACAUGUAUACAUAUGUAACAAACCUGCACGUUGUGCACAUGUACCCUAGAACUUAAAGUAUAAUAAUAAUUUAAAAAACUUGAACAUUCCUUAAGAAAAAAAAAGAAAAUUUGCUUUUUAAUUUAUUUAGUAUCUAUGUCCCACUUUCAAAAAUAAUUUGAAGCCAUGGUCUUAUUUGUUGAACAAAUACACAUAAGGGGCUUUUUAGUUUUCAUUGGAAGCUUUUAGGGCAUCAAAGUUGUUCAAUUUUGUUUGGUUUACUUUUACUUUUUUCCCCAUGUUAAUAUACAGGUUUAUAAAAAUACAAUUUUUCUUGGCUAACACCCUCUAAUGAAGAUUAACAACCCUAAUAUUUACAUAACCAGCAAGCAAAUUAAGCUGAGCAAGACACAGUCCACCCAAUCAGGAUCUUUGGAAGGCUUCAGCCAGUGGCUGUAGUUCAGGUCUAACAGCUUGGCAUUCAUUGGAAAGGGAAGAUUGGGAGCAAUUAUUUCAAUAAGCCAAGCCAAGAAACACAGCUAUGCUAUUCAGGGAAAAGAGGAGGCCACAGAGACCAAGUCUACUUCUAGCAAAACGGAACCCGGCUGGCUAGUAAAAGCUGAUGUUUCCCUACUCUGCCGUGUGUAUUGGCUUUCACCUCUUCUGGAGGAAAGCUUUUGCAGAGGACAGAUGGUUCUCUUACAUUUGUAUAAUGCCUUAUUAUUUUCAGAGUUUCCUAGAUACCAAUAGCAUCUGAAUCUCAUACUCACCUUACAAUGAAAAUAGAGAAGGUUAGUAUUAUCCCCUUUUCAUUGGUGAAAGAACUGAGACUCAGACAACUAAGAGACUCUUUAAAACGACAUGGCUGGCAAGUUCCAUAGCAUGGAUAGAACAUAUUUGUCAUGUGCUCUGUCCUUUGUACCAUGGGGUCUCUUGGCUUCUCUCCAAGCCACUUAAGAGAAUGAGAUCCCACUUCCAAAACUUGGAAAAAAAUUAAGCUAGGAUUAUUAGACACUGGGCAGCAGGCAAGCUGGAAGCUGUGCCACAGUCAAAGGAAAGGACAGCAUUCACCUUCAAGAUCAUGCAUUGUGGAGGCACUGGGGGGUACAGGGAGAUAGGUAGGUGCCAAGACUCCUACUUGUAGCAAUGGUUUCAAUGCCUGAGUCUGACUCUACUACAAAAGGUCAUCAGCAAUGGUAGACUCAUCUGGGCAGACUUUGCUACAGACAGGGAACUGACACCUGUGGUUAUGAGACAUACAAGUUCUGAAAUCCAUUCAUGAACAUAGUCAGUUUGGAUUCUGCUAGGGUUGCAUGCCGCCAAUAGUAAACAGCAUAAAGAGCACUGGCUUUGGAGUCUGCCAGACCUGGCUUUCAGUCCCAGCUCUAUUUUUCACUCAAUGUGUGCCCCAGAACACUUAUCUGCUCUGAGUUUCAGUUUUUUUAGUCAUAAAAUAAUAAUGAUAAAAUAUACCCAUCAGAAUUAUUGUGAAAAUUAACAUAAUAAUAAUAUAAAGUUAUUGGCAUAUAGUAGGCAGUAAAUACAUUUUUGUUCCUUUCUCUUCUCCCCAACUAAAAAAUGAUGGAUUUUCUGUGAGCUUUUAAAACACAUGAAAGGAAUAGUUUCUAUCUUCCUUGCUAGCCAGAAUGAAAUAAAAACAUAAAUCAUUUAAAUUCAUACCUUCCAGGUAAUCAUAUAUGAAUAUAUAAUAACCUUCUCAGGUGGCCUAAUUUAAGAACCUUUACCUAUUUUUUUUUUCCUUUUUCACCUGAAAGUAAUCUGAUUAACUCAGCGCAUGCUUCAUUUCCUGGAAUAGAAAUUGCAAUAAUCUUCUCCUUAAUUUCAAUAAUUGAUUAACAUGACAAAAACAUGUCACCUAUAGUCAGACUCUAGCACCCACAAUAUUCUCUAGAACUGAUGUUUUGAUGUUGCCAAAUGCUGCCUGAAAGAAAAGCAUCUGAUUUCCAGGUUAACUCUAGAUGUUCCCCUGGGCAAAUUCCACAGGUUACACAGAAACACUAAGAGAAGGGGUUUCAUACCUGGCUGCCUAUGAUCUUCCUUUUAAAAAGCAAAUACAGUGUUUUCAAAAUCUACAGGUGAUCUUCCAUGAGAAAGUUUUGCUGUUUCCUCAAACUCCAUGAAGAUUCCUCUCAUAAACUGGUGCCCCUUCCCAGUUAUCCUAUUUCUGUCCAUAAGCACAUGUUCUUAGAAUCUCAGAAACAAGAAACUGAAAGAGAUUUCCAUUAAAGCCAUCUGAUCUAGUACUAAAAACAAAAAAUGCAUUAAUCAUCCCACUGAACCCCUGAUGGCCUGCUACUGACUAAACACAACCAGUAGAGGGGAGCCGACUACAUCCCUGCUGCAUUGUUCCCAUUGUUGGUCAAGUCCUUCUAUACAUCUGGGUGGGAUGUUUCUUGUUCCAUCCUUCCCACUUUCAUUAAUCCCAGCUCUGCAUUCUAGAGCAAUAGGGGACAGACAAAUCUCACCCUUCUUCCUCACUAAAGGCCCCACAACACGGAAGGCACCCAUUAUGUGUGUACACAGGUUUUACGCUCUGAAUCAAACAUUCAAUCCAAAAAACAUCUGAGGAUCAACUGUGUGCCUCACACUGUUUUAGGUGCUAAGACAGGACAUGUAAAUAACAUACAGCAUCUAUAUGCAAAAAGCUCACAACAGUCCCUUAGAAUUUCUGGAUAUGACCUGGCUUCUAGACCAACCACCCUCUCCCUCUUCCAGAUACACUUUGGCCUAGUGAUGCUUCUUUUAAAAUGUGAUUCUCAGAAUAUGGGAGAAAAACUGGAUGGAUGAGUCUGUGGAUUAUUUCCUAGUCUGAUAUUGUACUACAGUUGUGCAAGAUGUUAACAGUGGGGGAUGCUGGAUGAAGGGCACACAGGACUUCCAUGUAUGUUUCUUUGCAACUUCCUAUGAAGGUAUAAUUAUUUCAAAAUAAUUUUUUUCUAAUGGAUGGAGAUGCCACUAACACAAGCUACUGACAGGACAAUUCAAAACCUAAUAAAAGGCCCAAACUAGGAUAGGUCCACCUACUCAAAUACUUCUUGAAAUAACACGGAGGCAAACAGACAGCAAGAACUGUCAGAUAAAAGUCCACACUCUGUCUCUCCCUAGGAGGCAGAGUAUCUUCCAUAAGCACUUGCUUAUAGAAGAUGCUCCAUGAUCUGAAUCUGCAGGGCCUUCUCCUCAUUCGUAUUCUGGAAUGUCUGGAUGGGCAGAGCCUAUUGCCUGUGCUCCCUCUCACCUGGAGGGGCUGCAUGGGGUGGGGAGUUAUAAACCAUUAGGCUUUGGAGUCCAACACACCUGGCUUUAAAAUGUAGGCCCACCACUCACUAGCUGUGAUAACCUGGGGACCUUACUUGCUCUUUUCAAGCCUCGCAAAACAAAGAUGGUGAUGAGCGCUAUUAUCUCACAUAGUUUUGUAAAAGGAGACAAUAAAAUAAUUUAUAUAAAGCACAUGGUAUAGUUCCAGCAUCCACAAAUAACUCAAUAAAUAUUUGUUGUUUUAGAGCCUCACUCAUGGAUAAGUUCUAGGUUUCCAGGAUUUACUAACCCCCACCUCUUUUUUUUUCUUUUCUUUUUUUUUUUUUUUUUUUUGAGACAGAGUCGCUCUAUUGCCCAGGCUGGAGUGCAGAGGUGCAAUCUCAGCUCACUGCAACCUCUGCCUCCCAGGCGCAAGCGAUUCUCCUGCCUCAGCCUCCUGAGUAGCUAGGAUUACAGGCAUGCACCACCAUACUGGCUAAUUUUUGUAUUUUUAGUAGAGAUGGGGUUUCACCAUGUUGACCAGACUGGUCUCAAACUCCUGGCCUCAAGUGAUCUGCCUGCCUCGGCCUCCCAAAGUGCUGGGAUUACAGGCGUGAGACACUGAGCCUGGCCCUUACUCCCUUUUUAACAUCCGAUAGAACAUCUGCCCUUUCCCCACCUUCUAGUACCUCUCUAGCCUGCCAGGAUGUCUCAAAUUUCCAGUCCAGUGCUUCUCCUCGAGCCAUUUGCAGUGAAGGCUCAGUUUGAUUUUUUUUUCUGCUUUUAUUCUAAUCUGUUAUAGACUAGUACUUUAGUAAACUAUAAUGAAAAUGAAUUACCAGCAAAGUACAAUUUUAAAAACAAAAGUUCCAAUUUUUUAAUUUUUAGAUUCAACAGACAUAAAAUUACUCUGGCAAAUUGCUAUAAAGUUUCUAAAUGCUUCCUUUCUAUUUCUGUGCUCCUCAUUACUGACUGACAACAAAUGGUUGGCAGAGCAGUUCCAUGGACCACACUUUAGGGAGCACUUCUCCAUUACCUCCCUUCUCCAAGCCUGUAGGAACCUUACUUUCAGUGAAACACAACUGAGGGCUUAAGAUCUCUGUGUUUUGGAUAUUGGUUUUAAUUGCCAAGGAGGAUUGUAUGCUCUCUGAGUGCCAGGGUCAUGCCCACUGUGCUCAGAACCAGAUGCCUCAUGAGGGCCCAAUUCCUGCUGAUAAUCUAAGCACUCAAACAGGCAUAUUAUUUACUUUUACCUUUCCAUGAUUUCACCUUGAUGGUGCACCCUUGAAAACCUGCCUAAAGAGAACACUUUGUCCCUUCAACAUCCCUCCCUGUUUGCCUGCAUUCCAUCUAUUUCUGUGUGUGUCUUUUUUACCACCUGCUUCAUCUCCAUUUAACUGAAACGUACCAGAUAUAGUCACAGUUUCUUCCACAGAGGGAGAAGACAGGACAAAUCUCAGAAAAUCCCAUUCAUCAGAAAAGCUGGCUUCUGGCUCACCAGAUAAACAUUUAAGGAAAUGGAGUGGUUACAUUAAUUUACUUCCUGGGGAUACUGUUAGCCUCAUCUCUGUGUCUCUCUAAUGCUGGGCACAUACUAGCUGCUCAGUAGACGUUUAUGUGAAGUGGGCACAGAGUAGCAGCUGCUGCAGUGACUGCAAGUCACACCUUUGGUCAUGUCACUCAGAAGAAGAGGGGCAGUGAGUGGCACUGCCACAGGAAGAAGCCUCAGAUGUCACUGAGACCAGUGGCUGUCUACCCUGACAGAACAAUGAAAUCACUCAGGGAACUCUGAUACAAUACUCACUCCUACAUCUCAGACCCAGAGACUUUUUAAUGUCAUUGAUCUGGGGUGAAGCUUGGGCAUCAGCGUUUUUCAGGUUCCAUAGGCAAUUCCAACGUGUGGCUAGGGUGAAAACUCACUGAUUUAGAACACUCUCCCAUCCACACAGGUACGUAGCAGAGUUCCUUAAAUGUUUGUUGAGUAGAUGAAUGAGGGAGUCACUGGAUCAGUAGAUCGAUAAAGGGAGGAGGAUAGGUCUGGAGCAAAUGCGAACAUGGCCUUAACCCUGUCUCCUCAGAUCCCUCACCUCCAGCUGCUGGGCAUCUUUUCCCAAGGUCCAGCCUUAAGCUCUAGCCAGGAAGCAUCCUCUUGCCCAUAAGAGAAGGGCUUGCUCCUCCCCUCAAACACUGGUCCCUAGGAAAGCACUGACUUAGUCCACCCUCACCUUUUUCAAGCAGGAAACUCCUGGGCUUUCUUGAACACACACCCAGAAGGCUCCACAAAUACCACUGGCCUCAACUUCUACAGAGUAAGAACACUCUAUCUCAUCUAUUUCAUGUUUAUUUAAUGGCUGCUUGGAUUGUUUUCCUGGAAGCCUUCAGUCCAGGGUGCCAUCUCAAACUACAGACUUCCAGACGACAGAGGCCCAAGAACACUGUAAAAAGUGACUCGUUUAUGAAAGUCUAGUAAAUGGAUGCUGCUGUGGUAAUGCUGCAGAGAGACAAGAGGGAAGGGGAGGAUGAGAAAUGGCAACCAGAAGGAGGAAGAGGAGGAGGAUGAGGAAGAGGAAGAGGAUGAGGAAGAGGAGGAGGAUGAGGAAGAGGAGGAGGAUGAGGAAGAGGAGGAGAAGGAAGACGAGGAAGAGGAGGAGGAUGAGGAAUAGGAGGAGGAGGAUGAUGAGGAAGAGGAGGAGGACGAGGAAGAGGAGAAGGAGGACAAUGAGGAAGAGGAGGAGGACGAGGAUGAUGGUGACAAUGACAAGGAAGUGGUGUGCAUACCUGGAAGGGGAGAUGCUAGCUGCCCACUGUGGGCAGGCACAGAUGCACAGAUGACACAGAAGAUCAGGCAGUACCCACUACCCCUUCCUAAGGAGCAGGGAAAAAUUUAGCUAAGCUCAGACUUCUCUGCUGGGAAUGCGUGCCUGGGGCUGCCCCAGGUUCUGAUCUCUGGCUGCUCUUUAGUUGCUGAUGCUGCUAUUUUUAGCUGAACAGUGGCCCCUUCCCAGCCUCCUCUCCAACCUCUAGUUCCAGGAUCUCAGAGGAGCAGCUGGACUUGUCAUUCUCCCUCUGGAUCCUGGACUUCCUACUCCAUGAAGCUACAACUGAGUCAAUUUGGGAUGCUAUUUGGGAAUGUUUGGAAGGAGAUGAACAUAGGGUAGCUAGGGAGUCAGUUGUGAAAUCCAACACUUAUUUUUCAGGCCAGAAAAAGAAAAAAGGUACAUAUGUUAGGUCCAAGGAGAACACUCCCUCUGGCCCCAAAAGAGACACUCCUUAGAUCCCCCCCUUACUGCCCAUCUAAUAGCUUCCAAUUGUUCAGAUUAUCCUGUUCUAAAAUGAAAACUGGCUUUUUUAAAAUUUAUUUAUUUAGGAUAUAUGCCCCACUUUCAAACAGAAUUUGACGCCAGUCUUAUUUAUUGAACAAAUAUACAUUAGAGCCUUUUUAGUCUUUAUUGGAAGCUUUUAGGACACCAAAAUUGUUAAAUUUCACUUGGUUUACCUUUGUUUGUCCUGCCUGUCUAUGUAUAGAUGGCAUUCCAUCACUAGCAUUAAUAGGUAUUUUCUGGUAUGUUUCUCUCUCUCCAUUUAAAGGGGAAAAAGAAACACACACUAUUUGGGCACCCUUGUUUCCUAGCACUCUGUGAGGCUCUAUUAGUAGUUUUCUUCAUGCAAUUCUUACAACCCAUGAACUAAGUUAAGGGACCCACCCAGGGCCACACAGCUCGCAAGUUGCAGAGCUGGGAUUCAAAUCCAGGACUUUGUGACUUCAAAGCUCACAGACGUCCAUCUUCCCCAGAAAACAAGCCUCAUACUCCUGUCAUCAAAAAGAGCAAUCUGUUCCCAACCCUAAAGCCCCAUUAGACUGGUACUUCCCAUUGGGCUCAAUAAACCAUGUGGAUUGCCUGAACCACCAGUUUCCAGAAAAUAGAGAGGGAAACACAUCCACCAUCCACAUGACAGUGAGAUAUGAAGAAAUAUGUGCCUUUUCUUGCUAGAUCAGCUUUUUUGGUGGCUGCGGAAAGAAAGGAGGGGAGGCACCCAGCCAAGAGAGGUGAAUUAUGGAUAAUCCCAGAGUCUGCAAUAACAUUUCCCCUUCCCAGAAGCACCUCUUAACUGCAAGAAUUCCAAUAAAAUGAUUCAUUCAUUAAUCAUCCAAUAGAUUUUCACUGAACACCUACUAUGUGCCUAGUACUAGAAACUGUAUUAGGUGCUGAGGGUAGAAAAGUGAAAAAAAAAAGCCAUCACAGUUUCUGUCCUUAUAAAGCUAGUAGCUAUAGGGAAACAAUGCUGGGGUUCAGAGGCAUUUGUGGGGUGAUAGCAUCCCCUGACACACUACCUUAAAUUUAGCACUGAGGCACUUUUGUGGGAGGAGGAGGAGAAGGAGGAGUAAAGGAAACCAAACUCGUUGCUAUGCAACAGUGAUGAUUUAUUCUUAGAGCAGGGAGAGCAGCGGCAUGGUGCAGGGAGUGGGUGGGGGGUGGAGAUGGAAAGAGGGGAGGCUGGAGGAGUACAGAGUGGGAGGAAAAGUGGUAUAAGCAAGCAUCGAGGCUACACACACAGGCCUCUCCCCACGGAGCCGCUCACAAAUGGACACUCCACAGAAUCAUUCUCUCCAGAGCUAGGCAGAAUACUGUAGGGACAGCCCCAGGAACCACUGAAAAACCCUGGUUCUUAGGUCUGAAAUUAACCUUCAGGUACUGUAACCAGGCCUGCAAUGAAUACCAAAAAGGGACAAAAGCUGAACAUAACAAUCUUUACUCCCACCAGGGAAGUAGGACUCACACACAUAGUUGACCAACAAGUAUUUAUUAAGCACCUUCUCCAUGUUCAUUCAACAUUGUGCAGGAUGCUGUGGGGAUAGAGACAGCCCUCAAGCUGAAGGAGCCCAUGUGUUGGCUGGGUACAGAGACAGACACCUGCCUGAAACGCAGGACUGAGUGCUGGACCUGGCUCAGCCACUUACCUGCUUGGGGAAGCCUGUGGCAAGUCGCUCCACAUCUCUGGACCUCAGGCAUCCGCUCUCUAAGUUGAGAGACAUAAACAAAGCUUAGCCCUAUGUCUCUGACACUGUACAUGCCACAGGAUCUCAGUAAGAGCAGAGGUGAGUAUCACCUGGGGUACUUGGGAAGGGCUGCAUGGAGAAGGAGGAAUUGAGAAUGGAGGGGAGAGGGAGAUAAAUGUUUCCUGAGGGCCUAUUAUGUAUUUUUACCUAAUGAUAAAGAAUAGUUUCCCCAUUUUCAGAGUUGAAAAGGCCAAAGCCUCAGAGAGUGACUUGCUCAAAACCACACAGCAGAGCUGGGAUUCAAACCCAGAUCCUCCCAGCCCCAAAGCCUGAGCACUUCCCACUGGCCCACACUGCUUCUCUGAGAUGCUGAGAUUUAAUAGGAAAAAGGGGUGCAAGGAACACUGGUUGAGGCAACACAGGCAGAGAUACUGACAGGCUGAAAAAUAGCCAGGAUUAACAAGGGCAGAUUCCUGGGGCAAAGACAGGCUGUGACUGAAAGGAAGGUGAGAACGCAGAAAGAAUGAGAACCAGGCAGUCACUAACCAACACCCUUCAUUGUGCCAAGUGCUAUGGAAAAGACAAUUUGCAACCAAGGAGAUAAAAUGUGAAAAUUAACAAUUAGUGAAAACCUACAAAAAGUGCCAAAUGAGAUGUACAAAAAUAAAUCAUAGUACAGUUUAAAUGGGGAUUCUGUGGAAGAAGGAGUUUGGAUCUGAGCCUUAAAGGAUUCAGGGGGAGGACAGGUGAGGAGAGGAUGAGAGAGGUAAGGGCAUUUGGAAAAGGAAAAAUCUCACCCACAUGAGAAAAAGCAGAAAAUAUGCUCCAAGGAAGAUCACUUUGCUUAGAAGACAGAGCUGGUGGGAAACAGUAUAAAAAAGUGGGGUUGGGCGAGGCUAGGGAGUUGUGGCUGACAGAGUGAGGAUUCUAAUCUUCGACCAGGGCUAUGAAAACCAUCAGCUGUUCCAGUGAGGAAAGACAUGGUGAAAAGAGGAGUUGAAGUAAAAGAAACCUGCAGGGUUCAGAAAGCCAGGGAAGGAGCUAUUAGGCAUGGGAUGAAGAGAGUCUGAAUUAGGGAUGGCAUUGGAGGUGGCCAGGAAGGACCGGUUCCCUGGGUAUUUCAAGGACAAACAGACAAGUCCUGGUGACUGGGGGGCUGAAGAAGGCGGAAUCAAAGUUAACCCAAGCUUCAAGGCAAGAACAUGAUGGUAUCACAUUCAGAACUAGAGAAGCCCAACAAAAAAUUUGCGGAGAAGGUGGUAAUGAGGUAGAUUAUUUCCAUUCUAUGCAUUUUUAAGAUUCUUCUAAGAUAUCCAAAUGAAAUAAUCAUGAAUCAUAAACUCAAGAAAAGGAAACCUGAGGCUGGGGAAGGGGAGGUGAAGUCACCCAUGACCCAGGGUGAGACCAGCCCUCCCCUACUCCCUGUGCCCCCCCCGGGAGGGCAAGGCUGCUGCUUUGGGAGUUGGAAACUGUAUGCUCUGGUGAAAGAAGUCACAGGGAGAAUGGGAAUGGACUCUCAGGGCCAACACUUAAUUAUUCCCAUCAGUAGAGCAAGUGAAGCUUUCAAACAGGGUGAAGCCACUUCCCUGUCCAGGCAAGAAUUCCUUCUGUGCUCUAGUGAGGGGUCAUCUAGCCUUUGCCAUGGGCAGGGAAUCACAGGAGACCUCACCCAGCAUCUUGCUAUAGAGACAGGGGAUAAGAUUUUGGAUUCAGAGAGACCUGGGUAAGAAUCUCACUUGUUCCAUCUGGGGCACCUUGAACUGAAUUCCAUCCUCAAGAUAAGGUCUGACAGAGACAGAGAAGAGCUCUAUAAAUGCAGCUCAUGGCCCCUAAAAUAUCACUUCUAUUCGCUUGUCAGUGGCAGUUGAAAUUCUACCAUUAGAGAUUUAUUUCUCUAGCUUAAUAUGUUUCUUUUAAACUACACAUUCUCCUGUGAGGCAUAACUUAGUGAGUUGUUACCAGCCGUAAGUACAAGAGUAUGUAUUCAUUUAUCAGAUGCCUGGGGGAGCCAGGGUUUUAAUGCUUUGGAGAGGAGGAGAGGGGCAUUCUGGAGGUGGAAUCAUUGGCCAUAUUUGGGUAGGCUACUGAAGUUAGUCAACGAUUGACCGGACUGGCAAAGGGACCUAGAAAGCAAGUUUCACAGCUUCACUGGGGAUCAGUCCUAAUCAUCAGAUAAAAGAAGUCACAAGAGAGAUAACUCUGCUGGUGGAACUACCAUAUGACAAUAUGGGCCCUUUAGGGUACAAUAUGAAAGAUAGGGGGCAGGACCUCUCCAGAGAGCACGGCAAAGCGCAACAGAAAAGCCACUUCUAUCUCCCGUGAAGGCAGAGUUAGAGAGAUCAAGGUGUACCAGGAGAAAGGAGGUCUGAAACCAGGAAGCCCUUUCAGAUGAUACAAAAUCCCCCCUUGUUGCUCACCUAAGCUUUCAUUCUGCACCAACCCAGUCCUGAAACUGUUAUUUCAAAGAUGACCAUGAUCUCCUCACAUCCAAUCCCCCACAGUUCUAUCUCACUCUCCAAUCCUUGAGUGUAGUGCCCUCUCCUUCCUUGCAACCCUUGACAAGGGAACCCCCAGGUGCUCUGGUUUUUCUACCAUGUAUCUGACCACUCUUGCAUUCCCUCUCACUGUGCCCUAAGGCUCUGCCUCUCUCCUCUCUGUACAAACCCUCCUUGUCCCUAACAAGAGAGGGACUGCUGCCCAGCAGUUCUCAGCAAAGCAGAAAGUAGUGGUUUAGAAGAGUCUAUACUGUGCAGGGCCUAGUACAUAGCUAGUACACAAUAAACUGCAGGAGGAAUAAAGAAAUGAAUGCAUUAAAACACUAAUCCAAGUGUGACUCAAGAGGAUCAUGCCAUAGGAAGCCACAAAAGAUGUAGUAUUUUGUUCUGUUUCUGUGGAAGCUUCACUUACUUAACAUAUACACCCAAACUUUGACACAUGAGCACCCACCCAUUCAGCAUGUUUUCUCUGGAGAACAACUUAAAGAGAGUGUUGUCAACAUCAGAAUCCCUUUGCCUCCUCAUUACUCUGGUCUUUUGCAUCCAAGGAGAUAUGGUUCUCACAAAGGACCAUGUAACCAAGAGAAAAAAGAAAGGAUCUGGGCCCUAUAGAUGGAACCUGAGAGGAGAGCUCUUCUCUACCACAAAAGGACUUUUAUCCCUGGGCUAGCUUCCCCAGCCUCCUGCUGCAAGUCCUCCCAUAUGCUCCCCGGUCCCCACUCUUGCACCAUUUAUCUUUGCAGUGAGCUUUUUCUGUGGCCUCACAUCUGUAUUAUAUGCGCCAUGAUACAUACAUAUGUAAACAAUAUCAGAGAACACCAUCUCAACUUUUGGGCUCCCUCACACUAAUAGCCUUCCUUUUCCCCCCAGCAGAAGUGUCAUGGAGAUGAAUACCAUGGUCUCCUCCAACAAGCUGGGAGCUCUCUGAGGACCAAAGCCAUAGUUAGGAGUUACCCCCUCUGUACUCACCAUGUCCCUUCAGUGGUCCAGGGGAAUACUCUGCCAUACAGGCCCCCUAGUUCAUGCUGAUGACUGAUCUAUGAAGACCAAAAGGCCCGGGAAUUCCACAGAAAGGAGGAGGAGAAUACAUAAGGAAAGGUGGAGGGAGAGAAUAUGGGAGAAGGGAAGAACUUCAGUGAAUCCUCUGGCCUCAGUGGCUUUCUUGUAUCCUGCCUCAGUCACUCUUUUCAUCUUUGACCCUGGCAUUGAUCAUUGAGAUUUGCUCUUUGAUCUGCUUGUCUGUCUCUGCCCAUUGAGUGUGAAGCAUUGCUAUUUGUCAGAUAUUCUGAGCACCAGAACCCAUGCAAGAAAGUUGUCAAGGCAACAGAACCUCUUUGGUAUAAAUACUGGUGGGUGAUACCACUGGUGGAGUAGAGCACAGAGAGCCUCCCCUCCCCCUCUUUUAGUCAGAGCUAACUGACUUCAAAGUUGGGGGAGUGGAAAAGAGUAGGUCUCUCCAAAGACAUGCUAAAUUGAUGUCUAAUGGUGAUCCAGCAGGGAGAGAGGAUUUUGCAGUUCUGAUUAGCUGCUCAACUCCCACUGAGCCCAGAGGUGGCAGUGAGGGGCAAAGAGAAAGCUGCAGGAGGGUGGUGGAAGUGGCACAAAUUGUGGGAGAUGCCUGAAACCACAGUGCUAGGAUGUGGCACCCAGGACAGGCUCUGUGAACCUUGAGAUACCAGCCUGCUGGGGGCCACUGGGGAUCCCUGGGAAUGUCCAGGGCCUUAAGCUCCGACUAGGGCUGUUCUGACCUCCCUUGUUCUCUAUACUUCCUCCCAGAUCCACAAAAACACAUACUUUACAGAAGAUUCUUAGGGUCAAGCAUCCAUAUCCCAAUGCUGUUCAGAGAAAACUGUGCCCUUCACCCCUGCCCUCAGAGGACACUAUUACAUUCAGAUGGCCAUUUCAGCCAUCUCCCUGCAUCCGACCCACACCCAGAGCACCAUUUUUAGCCUUUUCCCUUCUCUAGACCUCAGUAGUCCCAUUUCUAAAAGGAGAGAGAGCUUUCCUCCUCUUCCUCCAGCCUCCAGUAUUUCUGGAAAGGGUAAAAAUAACAUAAAAUUUGCGUGUAAGGACUCCUUGGAGAAACUCUUUUAAGAAGUAGUCAGUUCCAGCAGCCCUGCUAGUCAGGAGGCUUGCAUCCUCAAGUUAGUCCCAGCCCUCACACUUGGAGAGAGAGAGGGAACAGCAAACAAGGACAAGGUGGCAUUCAUUCAUUUCCCCUUUUCAACCACAUCCUUACAUCCUCUGCACAAAUGCUCCAUUGCUCCCAUAAUGAGCUGUCCCUCAUUAGAGCCCCACCCUACACCUUUGCUCACCCCAUUGACACAGCACAUCUCACACUCACUCAUCCUGCCAGGACCAGCAGGCUCACAGCCUUCCCAGCCACACAGCCAACUGGACUCUUCUCCCCACUCUUAUGGACUUGCCACCUGCAACAAUCACUUAACACUUACCUCACUCUGCUUUUUCUCAUUAACCAGUUUUUGGCAGCCCUACAGCAUCUAGAACAGUGUUGUACACGUAAGUAAAUAUUUGUUUUGAGGUUUCAUUUUUUAAAUGCAUUGUUCAGCAAAACCGGCGACUCCAGUGUCCAGGUAACAAGCACGUCCCUCCAGAAUGAGAAUCCAGACUCCCCAUGUCCUCUGCUAUAUUCAUCAGCAUAGCCUCUUCCUCCUCUCCCAAACACACCAUUCCUGCUGUGGCCUCAAACAUUCUUUCCAGGUGCCCAAACUCUCACAGCUGCUCUGCCCCAUCAACCCUGUUCCCUAAUCAUCCGGGUCUGCUCAGGGCCUCGCUCCCCACCUCUGGCAUCACUCCGCCCUGUUUCCAUCACUAGUGCCUCCAUAAUUUCCUGUAGUGCGAAAACAAGAAGUAACUUUAAAGAGCAGUGUCACCAGCUUUGUAACAAACACUCUGGUACAUGCACAUCCAUGACCAUCUUUUCCCAGGUCACACUCUGCACUAGGAAUCUGUGUCCUGGAUUAGGAUUCUAGGAUCUUCUGGCUGCCUCAAACCUCUACCCAAAAUUUCUGGGCCUUUAACAGCCACUAGGUUUCCUGGCAAGAAACUGGUUAUUGUUUCUCCCUGUGAGGAGACCCUAAAGGCCAACAAACUCUACUCUCCUCCCAGAGGUUAAGUAGACAGGCAGGCCCACCUCACUCUACCACCCAGGCUCCCCUAGAGCCAGCCUAUUUGCUACCUGGUAGGCCAGUAUUCAAAUCCUGAUUCCAAUCAAUGGGGGGGGGACCUUGGCAAUUUGGUAAAAUUCAGUCAGCAUGUAAUGAACAAGUGCCUCCUCUCGUUCUAAAGGAUCAGGGGCUCUCAUAGCAAGGUCCCCAGACCAGCAGCAUCAGCAUCACCUGGGAACUUGUGAGAAGUAUAAAUUCUUGGGCCCACUGUAGACCUGCUGAAUCAGAAACGCUGAAGGUAGGGCAAACAACUUGUGUUUUAACAAGUCCUCCAGAUUAUUCUGAUGUGUGCUCAAGUUUGAGUUCCACUGACUUAGGCCCUGGGGAUAUAAAAAAAAAAAUGAAAAACCCAUAAUCUAAACUAUCAGUUCUUAGCCCUGGCUGCAAUUAAAAUAAGCUGGGGAGCUUUUAAAAUAAUACCAGUCUGGGCCCCAUCCCAGACCAAUUUCAUUAGAAUUUCUAGGUGUGGGGAAGUCAUCACAAUGCAAUAUACUGAGUGCAAAGACUGUAACAGGGUAUGCAGGCAAGUGAGAAGGGAUCCUGCAGUAAGGAGAUGAGGACAAGCAGCUGCACCAUCUGUGCCUCCAUUUUCUCAUCUGUAGAAUGGGGAAUGUAACAGUCCCUUGAAGGACUAUUGAGAAUUACAUAAAAUGAUAUAAGGAAAUGCCCAGUAUAUAGCAGAUGCCCAGUGUUCAUCACUUCCCUUCUUUCUCCAGAAUGGGCCCCUGGUUGACUCUGAGUUGAGCAGCUGGGCUGCUGUGUUUAGAAUGUCCCCUACACUGGUCCCUCAUCAAGGACCCUUCCCCACCAAGAAAGAAAACUUCAUGACUGUUCAUAGUUUGGGGCAAGAGUUCUCUUCAGCAGCCAUCUCCAUAAUCCCAGCAUCUUGAUUCGCUGUCCUUAAAAACAGGCUGGGUCCCUUGGAACCAGACUUUCCCUAUAAGACAGCUCACAGUGCAGACCCCAGACCUCUAACACCCCCACACCCUUUCAAAGAACACCUAUUUUUUAAAUUUUAUUUUCCAUAAGUUAUCGGGGUACAGGUGGUAUUUGGUUACAUGUGUAAGUUCUUUAGUGGUGAUUUGUGAGAUCCUGGUGCACCCAUCACCCAAGCAGUACACCCUGCACCAUAUCUAUAAUCUUUUAUCCCUUGCCCCCCUCCCACUCUUCCCCACAAGCCUCCAAAGUCCACUGUAUCAUUCUUAUGCCUUUGUGUCCUCAUAGCUUAGCUCCCACAUAUCAGUGAGAACACACGAUGCUUGGUUUUCCACUCCUGAGUUACUUCACUUAGAAUAAUAGUCUCCAAUCUCAUCCAGGUCAUUGCAAAUGCUGUUAAUUCAUUCCUUUUUAGGGCUGAGUAGUAUUCCAUCAUAUGUAUAUACCACAUUUUCUUUAUCCACUCAUUGAUUGAUGGGCAUUUGGGUUGGUUCCACAAUUUUGCAAUUGUGAACUGUGCUGCUAUAACCAUGCGUGUGCAAGUAUCUUUUUCAAGUAAUGACUUCUUUUCCUCUGGGUAGAUACCCAGUAGUGGCAUUGCUGGAUCAAAUGGUGGUUCCACUUUUAGUUCCUUAAGGAAUCUCCACACUAUUUUCCACAGUGGCUGUACUAGUUUACAUUCACACCAGCAGUGUAGAAGUGUUCCCUGAUCACCGCAUCCACGCCAAUGUCUACUGUUUUUUUGUUUUCUUAUUAUGGCCAUUCUUGCAGGAGUAAGGUGGUAUUGCACUAUGGUUUUGAUUUGCAUUUCCCUGAUCAUUAGUGAUGUUGAGCAUUUUUUCAUAUGUUUGUCGGCCAUUUGUGUAUCUUCUUUUGAGAAUCGUCUAUUCAUGUCCUUAACCCACUUUUUGAUGUAAUUGUUUGUUUUUUUCUUACUGAUUUGUCUGAGUCCGUUGUAGAUUCUGGAUAUUAGUCCUUUGUCAAAUGUAUAAAUUGUGAAGAUUUUCUCCCACUCAGUGGGUUGUCUGUUUACUCUGCUGACUGUUCCUUUUGCCAUGCAAAAGCUCUUUAGUUUAAUUAGGUCCCAGAUAUUUAUCUUUGUUUUUAUUGCAUUUGCUUUUGGGUUUUCGGCUAUGAAAUCCUUGCCUAAGCCAAUGUCUAGAAGGGUUUUUCAAAUGCUGUCUUCUAGAAUUUUUAUAGUUUCAGGUCUUAAGUCUUUAAUCCACCUUGAGUUGAUUUUUGUAUAAGGUGAGAGAUGAGGAUCCAGUUUCAUUCUUCUACAUGUGGGUAGUCAAUUAUACCAGCACCAUUUGUUGAAAAGGGUGUCCUUUCCCUACUUUAUGUUUUUGUUUGCUUUGUCAAAGAUCAGUUGGUUGUAAGUAUUUGGGUUUAUUUCUGGGUUCUCUAUUCUGUUCCAUUGGUCUAUGUGCCUAUUUUUAUGCCAGUAUCACGCUGUUUUGGUGACUAUAGCCUUAUAGUAUAGUUUGAAAUCAGGUAGUGUGAUACCUCCAGAUUUAAUCUUUUUGCUUAGUCUUGCUUUGGCUCCAUGGGCUCUCUUUUUGGUUCCAAAUGAAUUUUAGAAUUGAUUUUUCUAACUGUGUGAGGAACGAUGGUGGUAUUUUGAUGGGGAUUGCAUUGAAUUUGUAGCUUGCUUUUGGCAGUAUGGUCAUUUUCACAAUAUUGAUUCUACCCAUCCAUGAGCAUGGGAUGUGUUUCCAUUUGUUUGUGUCAUCUAUGAUUUCUUUCAGCAGUCAAAGAACACCUCUUUAAAGCAACUUGAUAAAGGCCAUUUUAGUUAUACUAGGAACAUGUUGUCCUAUUCCGGCUGCCCUGAAACUCUUUUUGCCUGUGGUUCCAGGCAAGCAGACAGGCUCAGGAUGAGAUCUCUGGACUCAGGUAGCCCUCCCUGAUGCAGGAUUUGUCAGUAUCCAAACUCCUUCUCCAGGAACAUGUGAACGAUAGGGGACUUGGCAAUAGCCCCAGAUUCCUCUAGCGCCUCCCUCCCCAUAAGGCACAGGAGUGGGUCUGCAAUCACAGGCAGUGCCCUGGGUGGGCCCUCCACAAUGCCACAGAUCCUGACCUGUGGCCUCCUGAAUUGAAGACAGAAAUGAGGGCUGUCCUUGUUAGCUACCUCCGGGGCUCUGUGCUUAUUCUAGCAGACACUAAACAUUUUUGAACUUCUGAAAACAGCCUCGACUGUCGUUCUAAAUUUAAAAACAAGCAAACUGUUUCAUUACUUAAUAGACAAACCUUGUGUUGUGUUUUUUUGAGGUGGGGGAGAGAGGAAGGUUGUUGUUUUGUUUUUUAAACUAAAAUACUGUCACCCAGCUUGCCCAGAUUUGAUUCCCUCUUCCCCAGAUUUUCCCGAAUGGAGUUGGGCUGUUUCCAAAAACCAAAUUAGUAUUCAAAAACAGUUCUGAAGUUUUAAUCACCACUAAGGAUAUAUUUUUUUUAAUUUUUAAAUUUAAAAAAUAAAAAGUAACCCCGCACCAUCAGAUCAAUUGGCUGUUCCCAGAAUGCAGAUCCACAGUUGGAACACAGGCAGCAUCCCUGGCAUGAGCUGCCUCAAGGCCGUGCUGUGAGGAGAGUAACCCUCAUCUGGAAGUGGUCAGUGAGGCAGUCAGUCAUGCUAUCACCUACUAAGUGCCUCAGAAACCAAAUUCCAGAGGACAGAGAGGAAGAUGGAUUUGACUUCAGAGAAAACAGUGUAAAUGCCCCAGCAGGAGGAACCAGAACAACUCCCAAAGAGACAGGGGCUGCCAGGGGAGAAUUUGUGUCUUCAGAGGUUAAGGUCUGGUCUAGUUCCCUGCCUCUGACCCACAAAGCUCUCAUGAAAGAACUUGGAAUGUGAGACGGGGCAAAAAUCCCUGCCAAAACAGCCAUGAAGGAGCCAGAAAAAUGAAGGUGCCACAAAGCUUUUCCCCAAUUCUCUGAGUUACAAGGCCCUGGUUCCUUCCCAGACACAACAAAGUCACCUUCUCCUGGCCUCAUCAUCCUCCUCUUCCUUCCCCAAGUCCUGCCGUGUGUAAAAGAAGAUCUCUGCCCAGGCUGACCAGAGGAGAGUAAGGUAUUUUCUUCCUGGCUUUGCACAUUCAUUCAGCCUUGAAAAGCUCAGGCCAGGAAAGAAGUCCAGGAGUAUGUGUUGUGCGGUGCUGCAGUGCUCACUUCCCAGUGAUGGAGGCUCCCUCUCACUAAGUUUCUUCUCCUCCCAUCAGUGUUCUCACCGGCUCGGGUUCUAGGCUCUGGGCACUUGAAGUGAUGAUUGAGCUUCCCUCACAAACCUUAGGAAAAUGUGGCCCCAAACUAAGCAUUACUAAUGCACAGCUUUGCUCAUCAAGACAUGUCCACCUGGGGCUCCAACAGGGUAGAGGAGGCUGGAGGGAUAGGAAAGUGGUUGUGUAAUUCAGGCAGCACCCAGUCAUCAGCACUAAUGAUGGAAAGAGAUACUGGGUUGUUGAAAUGAUGGAUAAUCAAUAUUCCAGAAUAAUGGAUAUUGUUUGUUAGGAGACAACAUGAUUCUUGGCAGCUGAGUUGUCUUCUUAAAGAUCUACUUGUAAAAAACAGCCACAUGAAAAGAAGACUGUUCCAGAUUUAAAACUGACCAUAUAAUACACAUACGGAAAAAAAGUGAGAACUGGCUAUGUGGGGAAGACAUGGAGGAAGUUAGAGCUCAGAGGGACUUAUGACAUCAUUUCCCCCAUUUUACAGAGGAGGAACUAAGGUCCAGGGAAGCGAACAGAUUGCCUUGUGUCACAUAAUUAUUUGGUGGAAAAGCCAGAAAUGGGCCUGGGUUGUCUAAACAGGGCACUGUUCACUUGGCCACAGUAGUCCAAGGGCUUCACCUGGAAAAGAACCAUCAUUCUAAGCAUGUGAUGCUGACCUCCCGGCAGUGGCUGCUUCUGUAAUCACCACAAUUUCCCAACACACAAGUCACCUCAUGUGUUCCUACACCCUGAUGUCACAGCUGCCACUGAGAGCCCUGAGCCAAGUACCAUGAUGAUUCAUAAAUCACUGCCCAAUUCUUUAAAGUCACAGCAUUGUCUUUGUCAACAGCACCUUAUGUGAUUCUAAUCAGUAGCUGCCAUCAAUUUCAUCAAGUUCAAGUACAAUCUUACUUCUUAGUAUUUGGGUGGCCCUUUUAAUGUUUUUCAAAAACUCCUUGAUAGCUUAUACCUCACUUUAUGUUCACCAGACCCCAUGGGUCAAAGGUAGAGGAGUGACUGGAAGGUCUAUUUCAUAUACUCCUUGAAGAACUGACCUGUAAGUAAACACAGUUGGUAACUGGGGCUGAGAGACUAUAGCAGAGGACUCCUGAGUCACAGACUCCAGUUCUUUCCAGAGCAAGUUGGAAGCAGGAAAAAUAUGCUAAAAUUCACAAGAAGUUUCAGGGGCAAGAACCUUAAGAAUAUUAUCUGUUAACCUUCAGACAUAUAGAAGACACUGGGGUCUGUGGCAAAUUACUCAGCAUCACACUUCAGCAAUCUCUCUUCCUUUUCUUUGCUUUUUCAUUAAAGCAUAACUUGCACAAAGUAUACAAAUCAUAAGGGUACAGCUGGGUGAAUUUCUGCAUAUGUUAUACACUAAUAUAAUCACCAGACCAAGAUUUAGAACAUUUACAGCUACCCAGAAGGCUCCCUCAUGCCCCCUUCCAGUCAAGAAUAGCUAUUAUUCUGACCUCUGUCCCACACAUUAGGUUUGUUUGGUCAUAUAAGUGGGAGAAUACAAUAUGUAUUCUCUUAUGUCUGGCUUCCUUUCGCAAUCUUCUAAGAUGCUUCUAUACUAUUAGAGUGCCAAUAGUGCGCUCUUUAUCUUUUCUGUAUAACAUUCUGUGGCGUUGAUAUACAAUGUAUUUAUCCAUUCUACUGUUGUUGGAAACAACAUUUUGGUUGUUUCCAGUUUGAGGCUGUUAUGAAUAAAGCUGAUAUGAACAUUCUUGUACAUGCUUUUGUUUUUGUUUUUAGAUGGAGUUCAAAUCUAUUGGGUAUAUCCAGGUGUAGAAUUAUGGGUUCAUGGGGUGUGCAUAAUAGAUAUCAUGAAAAUUCUCUUUAAAGUGCUGUAUAAAUAUACACUCCCACCAGCAAAGUAAGUUCCAGGAACUCCAUAGUCUCAACAAAACUUGAUAUUAUUGGUAAAUAGUCAUUUUUAAAGUAUCACUGGAAAAGACGGUACCCCAUGUAUGUUUCCAGAUAACUGAUGUUAGUCUUUAAGCAGUUUUUAAAAAAAAUCUAAUAAUUUUACUUCUUGAAAAUAGUAAACUACCUAACCAUUGCAGACUACACUGAGAAGUUCAGAGAGCUCUGAAUAUACAUUUAACAUAUUCAGAGAUAUACUAAAUAUCUAAGGAUUUCACUCUCUCCUCCUUCAUGGGUAGAUAUCACUAAGGUAUCAGCAGCCCAGAGCACCUCCCUCUAAUCUCUGUCCUGGAAAAUAUUAAAGACGGCCCAAUCAGGAACUUUAAUUUAUACACUACCAUAGGUCAAUAAGUUCUGGUCACAUGGGCUUUCCACUAGAAAGGCUAUUUCUAUGUCCUGAAUGGUAAAAGUUGUCCCCAAAAUAGGUAAGUGAGUUGUUAUUCAUUUCACUUGCUUUUAUGUGGCUUGGCAAAUGUUAAUCAGUUAUCAAACAAUACACAUUUAUAAAGCACAUAUUCUGUUACCGAGCUAGACAUUCUGGAAGUUCCUUGAAGGGGCAGGGCUCCAGAACACAUCACAUGGAAUGUUGUCAUCUGCCUUCUUUUUCUCACUUUACCCAUCCAACCCCUUUCACAGAUGAAAUGAGGUUAAAACAAACUUCACUGAUGACCUUGGCUUUAGAGGGGAAAGCAAGGCCCAAAAGAGGUUUCCUGGGGAAUGAAAACAGAAGAAGGGAGAACAGCCCUGCCCAUAGGGCCAUGGUGAUAGAGUGAAUGGGUGAUUGAAGGCGACGUGAUUAUUACAACCUCUGGUCUUCUUUACAACAGAAGACCAAGCUCUAUCUUAUCCUUUAUCCAACCUCCACCCAUCAUGAACUUCCUUCUCCCUUGCCUCUUGGUGCCAUUGUCCAGGAGAUUGAAGUAGAGCAUCACAUCCCACACCUAACCACCAAGUGCAGUGCCUAAGACAAGACAUAUUCCCUGACCUUACAAAACAUACCACCCUUAAAGAGUAUGUCUCUAGUUGGGUGGGUAAAGUGAGAAGGGGCUCUGUUCUAAAUGCAGGGUGCAAACUGGAGUAUGAGUCACUAUGGACAGGCAUUGAGCUGAUCCUUAAAGCAGACAGGACUUAAGGCAGAGCAGUGAAGCAGACGUAGAGAGUGCUCUGCCCUCUAGCAGAGCAAAAGACAACAGUAGGAAGAACAUGGGACCCUUGGGAUCUGUGAAUAGACAGCACAAGCCUAUCUAAGUGGCUUUCCAUGCCACCAUGAUGCUGGGGCACCGUUCUGCUAAUGCUCCUGAGUAUGACGGACCUUCCUCAAACAAAAGCUGCCUGAGCACAAUGACUGUGACUUUUAGGAAUUUUCUUAGGAACACCCAAAUAUGAGCAUGCUGAAUACGGCUGUACGCAGUUUUACUCGUAAGCCUCUAUGCCCUCAAUUUCACAAUUCAUAGUUUCUGCUUGGCUCUCUAGAUGUCAAAUGCAAAUGUCUGAGAACAACUCCAUGAUUUUCUGGGAUGGAAAGCUGCUUCUAUCCCUGUGCAGAGAUAUAACCAAGCCAACAGGGCAGCUAACACAGAGGAGGGGACAGGGAACAAGCACACAAUGUUUAGACCAAUGAGAUGACUCUGGACCACAGAACUCUUCAGGACCAGUUGAAAAGGACACAGUGAGCAUCUGAGAAGGAGGCAAGUAGGAAGACCUCGGCACCAUACCACAGUCACCUGCAUGAAGUUCUUGGAUUACAAUGCUCCCCUACAGAAGGCUCACUUCUUCUCCAAAUAGCUUUUGGGGCCUAAAUCAAGGUUUUUCAUGGCUCUGUAGUCUUAUUCCAUCAGAAAAGACCUUCUACUUCUCUACUUCUUGUUACUUGGUUGAAAUUUUCAUUCCAUUUUCCUGCUUCCCUGUAUUGUCAACUCAGAGGGAACAUUUGCCCUCUGGAUGGGGCAGAAGUAUAACUAACACCUUUGAAUUGCCAACAAGUGAAAUGGCAUUGAGCUAAGACUUCCAUUCUCAGCCCAAAAGUUUAUUUGACCUCAGGCUUCUGUGUUUGCUAUCUCAAUAGUCUCUACGGAAAAUCCAUCUUUUUCAGGUCCAAAUAUCUUUUAAUAUACAAAAAGUAGCAAGUGGAGAGAGGGGUGAGGAAUGGCCACCAGACAAACAAGCAUAACACUGGUUGAAAGCAUCAAUGUCUCAAUAUCCCAGUCUUCUGGUUUUCUUUGUUCAUAAACUGAUCUUAUUCCACUGAUAAAUGUGACUAUAGUAAUAAUUAAUAACUUGAGAAAAGUUAGUGUGACACAUCAGUAAGUGCUUCUUGAGGGUGGGGAGUUGGCCUUAGUCAUUGCUAGCACCUACCAUACACCUGCCACAAAUAAAAGUACUUAAUAAAUAUUGAGGGAAUACAUGAUUGAAGAAAGGCAAAAACUGAGUAACUUAAAACAUAUUCUACAUGUCAAGGACAUAAAUUCUUAAGGGACACAAAAUAAUGAAGAGAUUUCACCUCUAAAACUGUGGAAUAAGCAUAAAAAAGUAAAUGAAGCAUAAGAGAAAGAAAAAAAAUAAGGAGACAUGGAUCAACCAAAAAGUAUAACACACUGGCAAAAAGACUGUGUGAUAGUAAUAACUGCUGUCUCAAUUAGCUGAAGGACUUCAAGUAGAAAUGAAAUUGUAUAGCUUUGCAUUACUCUAGAGGGUUGAACUAAGGUCAACAAGCCUAAAUUAGACAAAGUCAGAUUUCAAUUACAUAAAAUAAUUUACUAACAAUUAGAUCUGACCAACAAUAAAAUUAGCUGUCUCAUGGAAUCAUGAGCACUUUGUCACUGAAGAUAAGAAUCACCAUCACUCAGAGAUCAUCUAGAGGCAAUUUCUGCCUCAAGUGGAAAGUUAGACUAAAUGGACUCUAAGAUCUCAUUCAUAACUAAGUUUCUACUAAUCUAAAACUCUGUGGUCAAAAGUGGGUAAUAUCAAGCAAAGCAGACUUCCUGAAAGAGGGAAGUUUGGGGUCAGAUUGAGAAGGGGGUAACAGAGAAUGGUAAAUUAGUCUAGUUUAGAAACACAGGUACAUAUUGGAGUGUAGGGUCCAGAAACCUCAGUAAGGGGAGGAGGAUUAGAAAAUAAUCACUCUGACAGUAUAAUUGGUCUCAGGGACACUUUAAGGUCCAGAGAUAUUAUUCUCAGAAACAUCUAUUUAGAAUAAAUUGGAGCCUUCCUAAACUGGUAGGUAAUCCUAACCUGAAUCAAAUUUAAAUGGGAAAAUCUUAUCAGAUAUUUGACAGGUUGAGGCAAUAUGGAGAAGCAAUAGAGUCGCAAAUUAAAGGAAGACAAUAACAAGGCAAGUCUCACCCACAAAUCUGCAACCAAUUUGAAAUUUAUGAAGGGUGAUCUCUGAGCUGCCUUGCCACAAAAGUACCCAUCCUGGCAGCUUGGGGCUCCUGUCAUUAUCGAACCAGGGGUCAUUAUUUUAUGAAUCCCAUAUUGUAGUUGAGCCAGAUAGACAACAGCACCUUCUUUCAUUUCACUUGGAUAAUGGCCAGAUACAAGUCACUUUACUAUGACUUAGAGUAUUGUGCCCAUCUGUUCACAAUUGAUGGGAAUAAUUGAGGGGUGGAAUGUGCCAGGCACUCUUGGACAAGCUACAGAAGUGGGCUAGGGGCUUUCUUGGCCAUUUGCCAUGUGACAAUGAUUCCCUCAUCUGUGAACAUAUGGAGUAGAUGAAACUGUCACUUGGAGAGCAUGGUACAGCAGAGCUUGGACCAUUUCAUUUUCACAAGAAACUGUACAUGAGUUAUAGCAAGGAAAUAGCUUUUACAUCUUGAUUACAUCAUGAGAAAUUCUUCCAAACUUGUGACUGUGUAAAUUCUCUUAGGAGAAUCUGGCCUUGUGCCCCAAAUCAGAAAGAAGUUAUAAUUGGAUGUCAUCUAUGUCCACCAUCUUGGAUUUAAAACAUGGAGGCAAAUCACCCCAAAGGAGAAGAGUGGCCAGGGGAUGUCCUGAGACCACACACAAACCUCCGUUUUCCACCUCUCAAGAUGCAGGAGUGGUGGGGAGCAGGAAGAAGCCUCAAAUAUUUGCUCAGACUUUGCAAAAAUUUCAAUGAUUGAAAGAAAGAAAUCUGACCAACAGUCGCUGAGAAAACAGUUGAGGUAAUAUUGGGUUACAGGUAUUUCUUAACAUAAUAUUGAGGAAAAAAAUAAAGGAAUCCUACUGAAAAAUCCUUCUGAUUGAUAUAUAUCUUUUCAAGUUUGGAAAAUUUCACUCAUGAUUAAUUUUUUUUUAAUAGAGAAAAAAAAACAGAAUCAUUAAGUUGAGGACUGGUAAAAGCAAGGAAAUCUCUCCCAAUUCUUGGCCAGACAUUCACAAAACCAUGAUUCUCUCCUAUUCAACAUUUUGUAUUUCAAGGCAAACGAUGAAGGCAAAACAGAUGUUCCUAAAAGGCAACCUAGAGUCAGAAGAGAAUGUUAGUAGGUAAGCUGUCGAGAUUUGGGGGUAUGAGGUGGUAGAGUCACCUCCUUUUCCUCCAAACCUGCCUCAGAGUCAGGACGCAAACCAAGACGCAGCCUCUAACUCAUGGAACCACUCCUGCUCAAAGCAGAAACACCUAAUCAGGACAGCCCACUCCUAAUUAAGCAGAGCAUCUGAUGGCCUAACUCUGAAUCAUCCAGGCUCUUAACAACACCUCUUUACUCCUCCUAAGUAUUUCCCUGCCACUCACAGGGGAAUCAAAGGCAAGGAGUAGAAGAAAUUGACUCCAAGUCAUUUUACUUUUUGUGGGCCACUGUGUUGAAAGCAUUUCUAGGAAGGGGGAUUAUACUGUAAGUUAAAAUGAGGUGUUUGUGUUUCCUCUGGACCUCCCUUAGACUCCCUCAAAUGUCCAGGAAUAAGGAAGAGUGGGCCUGGAAGACAGUGACUGCCUGCACUGCCAGGCACGGCACCAGAGCCCUCCACCCACCACAUCACAGCUUCCUCUCAUCUGUGUGACAGCUCAAGGUCACCAGCUCAUGGAGGCUUGCUCAUUCACUACACCAUCUCUGACCUUGGGCUUCCUCCUUCCCUUCAAACUCUCCUGUCAUCAUGAUAAUCAGUAUCUUUGAGUCAUUUCAUGUGUAGUUGUCUGUUCUCAUGAUUAGAAACUAACAUGAAAGAACAGAGCAGGAAACUUGUAAUCCAAGGUCCUAGAUUCAAGGCUUGUUGCUAGGAAGCCAUGGGCAAAUCUCUUCACCUUUUUGAGAUUCAGUUUCCUCAUCUGUAAAAGGGCAAUGAUAAUCCUUGCUUUACUGAUUCAGAAGGCUAUUGUGGAUUCCAAAUGAGAUAACCCAUGUGAAACCCUUUUGUAAAUUGUAAAUCAUCCUAUUUCUGUUGCUGGUACAGAGGCCAUGUCUCUUCCUUAUACUCCAGGUUCUGAACUAGGGUUGUACCCCACUCUGUAGGCUCAGCAAGAUUUGGUUUAAAUGCACUGAAUGCCUUGUCCCUACAACGUUAAACGCAAACCCUCUCCCACGCAUUACCAUAUACAGGUAUACCUCAGAGGUAUUGAGGGUUUGGUUCCAGACCACCACAAUAAAGUGAGUCACAUGAAUUUUUUGUUUUCCGAGUACAUAUAAAGUUAUGUUCACACUAUGUUGUAGUCUAUUAAGUGUGCAAUAGCAUGUCUAAAAAACAAUGUACAUAUUUUAAUUAAAAAUAUUUCACUGCUAAAAAAUGCUAACAGUCAUCUGAAUCUUCAGCAAUUCAUUAUCUUUUUACCGGUGGAGGGUCUUGCCUCAAUGUGGAUGGCUGCCAGAAAUCAGGAUAGUGGUUGCUGAAGGUGGGAGUGCCUGUGGCAAUUUAUUAAAAUAAGACAACAAUGAUAUUUGCCACAUUGAUUGACUCUUCCUUUCAUUAAAGAUUUCUCUACAGCAUGUGAUGCAGUGUGAUAGCAUUUUUCCCACAGUAGAAAUUCUUUCAAAACUGGAGUGAAUCCUCUCAAAACCAGCUGCUGCUUUAUCAACUAAGUUUACAGAAAUCUUUUGUCAUUUCAACAAUGUUCACAGCAUCUUCACCAGAAGUCAAUUCUAUCUCAAGAAACCACUUUCUUUGCUCAUCAUAGGAAGCAGCUCCUCAUCCAUUCAAUUUUCAUCAUGAGAUUGCAAUAAUUCAGUCACAUCUUCAAGCUCUACUUCUAAUUCUAGUUUUCUUGCUAUGUCUUCCACAUCUGUGGUUACUUCUGCCACUGAAGCCUUGAACCCUUUAAAGUCAUCCAUGAGGGCUGGAAUCAACUUCUUCCAAACUCCCAUUAAUGUUGAUAUUUUGACCUCCUCCCACGAACCACAAAUGUUCUUAAGGCAUCUACAAUGAUGAAUCCUUCUCAGGUUUUCAAUUUACUUUACCUAGAUGUAUCAGAGGAAUCACUAUCUAUGGCAGCAAUAGUCUUAUGAAAUGUACUUCUUAAAUAAUAAGACUUGAAAGUCAAAAUCAGUCCUUGAUCCAUAAACUACAGAAAGGAUGUUGUGUUAGCAGGCAUGAAAGCAACAUUUAUCUCCUUGUACAUCUCCAUCAGAGCUCUGGGGUGACCAGGUGUAUUGUCAAUGAGCAAGUAAUAUUUUGAAAGGGAUCUCUUUUUCUGAGCAGUGGGUCUCAUCAGUGGGCUUAAAAUAUUCAGUAAGCCAUGCUGUAAACAGAUGUACUGUCAUCCAGGCUUUCUUGGAUUCGGGAUUUGGGGGAAUGGUAAAUGAGCAUUGGGUUCAACUUAAAGUCACCAGCUACAUUAGCUCCUAACAAGGGAGUCAAGCUGUCCUUUCAAGCCAGACAGUGACUUCUCUUCUCUAGCUUCUUCCAAUAGAAGGCUAUUUCAUCUACAUUGAAAAUCUGUUGUUUGGUGUAGACUUCUACAUCAAUUAUCCUCUAGAUAACUUGCUUCAGUUUUUACAUCAGCACUUGCUGCUUCAUCUUGCAUUUUUAUGUUGUAAAGACUGCUUCUUUCCCUCAGUCUCAUGAACCAACCUCUGCUAGCUUCAAACUUUUCUUCUGCAGCUUCCUCCCCUCUCUCACCUUUCAUAGAAUUGAAGAGAAUUAGUGCUUUGCUGUGGAUUAGGCUUUGGUUUAAAGGAAUGUUGUUGCUGACUUGAUCUUCUAUCCAGAUCGCUAGAACUUUAUAUCAGCAAUAAAGUUGUUUCCCCUUCUUAUCAUGUGUGUGUUCACUGAAAUAGCACCUUUAAUUUCCGUCAAGAAUUUUUCCUUUGCAUUCACAACUUGGCUAACAGUCUAACACAAGGCUUUCUGCCUAUCUUGCCUUUUUUUUUUUGAGAUGGAGUCUUGCUUUGUUGUCCAGGCUGGAGUGCAGUGGCGCAAUCUCGGCUCACUGCAACCUCCGCCUCCCAUGUUCAAGCGAUUCUCCUGCCUCAGCCCUUGAGUACCUGGGAUUACAGGCACGUGCCACCACGCCUGGCUAAUUUUUGUGCUUUUUGUAGAGACUGGGUUUCAUCAUGUUGGUCAGGCUGGUCUCAAACUCCUGAUCUUGUGAUCCACUCACCUCGGCCUCCCAAAGUGCUGGGAUUACAGGCAUGAGCCACUGUGCCCGGCUGCUAUCUUAGCCUUUAACAUGCCUUCCUCACUAAGCUUCAUCAUUUCUAGCUUUUGAUUUACCAUGAGGGAUGUAUGACUCUUCCUUUCACUUGAACACUUAGAGGCCACUGUAGGAUUAUCAAUUGGCCUAAUUUCAAUAUUAUUGCGUCUCAGGGAAUAAAGAGGCCUGAGAAGAGAGGGAGAGAUGAGAAAACAGCUGGUAGGUGGAGCAGUUAGAACACACACAAUUAUUAAGUUUGCAGUUUUAUAUGGGCAUGGUUUGUGGUGCCCCCAAUCAUAAUAGUAACAUCAAAGAUCCCUGAUCACAGAUAACCAUAAUAGAUAUAAUAAUAAUGAAACAGUUUGAAAUAUUGUGAAAAUUACCAAAAUGUGACAUAGAGACACGAAGUGAGCACAUGCUAUUGGAUAAACAGUGUUGAUAGACUUGCUCAAUGCAGGGUUGCUACAAAACUUCAAUUUGCAAAACAUGCAAUAUCUGUGAAGUGCAAUAAAGUAAAGUGCAAUAAAGUGAGGAAUGCCUAUACACUCAGAAGUCAAGCUUUCAUGCAUAUCAUUAUAAAAAUGCCCACCAAGAAGGCUCCUGCAGUCUGGCUUUGUGCACCCCUACAUAUAAGACAGGAGAGCAGAUCAGGACCUCAGAGUGUGCUGAAGGACACAAUCACAGCAGCAGAGUGGAAUUGAGCCUCCACCAGCACUGCAGACUGCACUGGUAUAUCCAGCUCCACUGCCCAGAAAGCAACUAUCUUCCAUGACAGCCAGGAAUUUUUUCUCUUUCUCUUUAGCACCACCACCUGCAGAAUUUCCAUCACAACCACCGCAGCCAAACUCUCUGGCACCACUCAUCUCACCAUUUGGCAAGUGCAAAGCCCAAAAUUCUCUCACUGGGACUUGUUUCUAGAGUCAUAACUAAAAUCUCUGAUUGCCCAACAGAGAGCACCUGGGAGACCAAAAGGAGAAGAAUGCUAUGUGACAUCUGAAGCCACUAAUUGCCCAUCUUCCCUGAAGCAAUGUGCUGACAGUAUCCUGUCCUUUUUUCUGAGUGUCUGCUAACAGGUCUGCCUGUGAUUAGGAGGAGCACUUAUACUGCUACUAAGUCACUCUGCACCUUCAACAGCUGACACCUAUAAGCAGCUCCUUUGUUUUACAGUAAAGCAAAUUCAAUAAUUAAUGGCCUUAUGGAGAAUUCCAAUCCACAGCCUCUUUGAACAGGGCUGCAAAAGCAUCCCCAAACUGUAAAAUUGUUUCUUCAAGUAGAAAUAAAUCACCACUUCUUGCAUUUUAUCAUACAACCAGGUGCCAUGGGCCCCAGAGUCAACCCUUCCCUAAUGGUCUGAUAAAGGAGAUAAGAAAUAGCUGAGUGCUCAUGGGUGACUUGUGCAAUAUUUUACAAAUAUGAGAGAGAAAUAAAUAACACAGUACUGUAGACAUGGCAAUGAUAUCCUCUGAAAAACUUAAAAUGCCCUCUCCACUGCCACCCAAUUUCUGUCAUGUUUUAAAUAUCUAACUCAAGCUUGACUUCUUCCAUGAGGUAGCUUUUCUCUGAUUACUCCAGCCUAGAAAAAUUUAUUCAUUCAAUAUUUCUUUAUUGAGCACCUACUGUAUACCAGACAUUGUGCUAGAUUCUGGAGAUAGAAAAUAUAAACAAUCAAAACCUCUAUCUGGUGGCUACAUUCUCUAGUCUACUAAUAGAAGUACUGUUUAUACUCCUGCAUCUUUCACAGAUAGCAUCUCCUGGAACUCACAUUACUCUUCAUUUUACAAAAUAAUUAUUAACAUGUCUUUUUAAGUAGCCAUUUCUGAUUUCUUUUUUUUUUUUUUUUUUUUUGAGAUGGAGUCUCACUCUGUUGCCCAGGCUGGACUGCAGUGGCAUGAUCUUGGCUCACUGCAACAUCUGCCUCUCGGGUUCAAGCAAUUCUCAUGCCUCAGCUUCCCAAGCAGCUGGGAUUACAGGGUGCACCACCACGCCCAGCUAAUUUUUGUAUUUUUUUUAGUACAGAUGGGGUUUCACCAUGUUGGCCAGGCUGGUCUCAAACUCCUGACCUCAAGUGAUCCACCUGCCUUGGCCUCCCAAAGUGCUGGGAUUACAGGAGCAUUUCUGAAUUCUUUUAUAUUCUGCUAAGAGAAGGUGCUGCAUAAAUACACAUUGAAUGAAUAGUUAGCUAAUUAUGUGAAAAUAUAUAUAUAUAUAUAUAUAUAUAUAUAUAUAUUUUUAGUAUUCCUAUCUGGAUUGUAAGUUUCUUGAAAAGUAGGGAUUCUUCUGUUCACAUUUCUGUAUCUUCUAGACCAUCAGCACAGUUCUAGGCACAUGGCUCAUUCUCAGUACAUACUUAGUUAAAUUCAGUAAUUCUGCUAGAAAUGGGAGUUCCUAUUCUACAUUUAUACCAUUAAUCGCACUCUAGAUUUAGAAAAUGGGAAGUCUAAGGCAAAGGAAAACAAGAUGGUCAGUUCUAAGUGACAGUCCCCUCAACAUGCUCGCUAAGCUUUCUCUCUGACCAAAGCACUGUGUUUUUGAGAGAGGAAUAAAGUCAUAUUUCAUCUGUGGGGAUUUACCUAAACCACCUGUGGAUUGCAAGAAGAAAACCAGAAUGGAAUUAGAGCAGCAAGGCUGACUUUGGACAGCAAGACCACCCAUAGAAACAUCCAUCAUGUGACCCACACUGGAUCUGCCUGCCAAAGGACCAUGAACUCAGGAGUCAGAGCCACCUGCCCUGUCGGGGGAACGGCUACAGCCCAAACCAGUCCAGGAAGGCCUGGGUAUCCUCAUCACCCCAUGUACCCACACUGCUGUCUUUUGUUUCAGCCUCUUGAAAUCCAUCUCCUAGAAUAGCCAGUUUUGCUCUGAUAAGCCACAACUAAGAAAGUCAGUGAACUGGGGCUGACCUCUGUGGGGAGAUGGGUCAAUAUCCUCUACUACCUUAGGUGAGAUUAGAUGGAUUGAUGUUGUUCUCCCAAUCCCCAAGGUGUGAGCACACCAUUAGCAUUGGUAAAGCAUACCCAAGCAGCAGCCCAGGAAUGGCAUCAGGACAUCCGUGUAUCACCCCCAAAGGCAUUAACCUGAAUCAGAGCAUUCUAAGUUCUAGACACACUUGAAAGCUGUCUCAGGGUUUGCCAUCUGAAAAUUCAGAGAACUUACCCUGAAGCCAUCCUCCCUACUCCUCAAAUUAGAAAGUGCCCCAGGACCUUCAAAAUCAACCUUAAAUAACAAAAAAUUAGACAACAUUUUCUAUUCCAGACACAAUGCUAGACCAUGCUUCAGUCCUACCCGAUCUGAAUGAUCUGAUCCCUGCUCAUGUUGGGACAGCCUGGAAGUAGUCCUGCCUCCUCCCCCAUCCUUGCGAUCUGAGACAGAUCCUGAGGAAGCUGCUCUUGGAAGCCAGCAAUGGCAUUUAGUCAUGCAAAGCAAUGAGCUGACUUCAUUUUCCUCAAUAAAUAUUUCAUUGAGAUUCAGAGAAAUAACAGAAAUCUUACUCAUGAGAUUUAUGUUUGUCUUAAUGAUUCACAGCAUAAUUUGUUGCAAAUUAAAUAUUUAUUUUAAUAUCUUCUUGGGUCUGAAAACUUCUGUCCAUUUAUCAGUGAGUCUUUGUACCAUCAGUCCCCUCACAGAUGUGAAGACAUUGGGAACAGUCUAAUUCUUCUCUGAAGUGGGAGUUUUUCCUUUCCAGCUCCCUCUUAAUGAGGAGCCUGCACCACAUCUGUGCAACAGUUGCACUGUCUCUGACACAUCCCCCAGGGCCCUGUCAGUCAGCUUCCACUCCCUGUUGCCUCUCGCCUUGCAGGUCUCAAAUCUACACACAUUCGUAAAAGGCUUACCUGCUCAGCUACCUCUCCCACCUCUCCCAGCCACAGAAUCCCAGAGACACUCUCUGUAAAACAAGGUGGGGGUUGAGAGAAGGAAGAAAGCUGGGCUCUCAUUACAGUAUGAUGAAAAGGAGACCGGAAUUGGAACAAAGAGCUCUGAGUUCAAUGUCACUACUCCAUGGACAUACAGUCUUAUGACAGUCACUUAUCUGGCCACGUCCUACUUGUAAAAUGGGGAUACAUAUACUGCUGAAAGACUCAAGUGAGAUAGAUGGUGGACAUGCUUUAUAAACUGUAAAGAAUGACAACUACCUGCCAGAGUUGUGACAAUUAAAUGAGAAGACGGAUUUCCAGUGUUUGGAACAAAUCUGGUAUAUAAUAAAUGUUCAAGUAAGACAUCGUUAUAAAAAUAUGAGAAAUUAAAUAUGUUUACUUUUUUUAGAGUGCAAUGACUAUUUAGGCCUCACUGCCUGGCAUUUACAUGUGGCCUAAGGGAACAUGUCCCAUGACUCACAUAGAGAGAUGCACAGAAGUCUUAGGAAUCUCCAGAGCCCACGUGAGGGACAGAGGGCUUCUGUGGAUGCAUGGAAGUGUCUCCUGCAACUCCACGGAAUGCUUCUGGGGGCUGGAAAGUUGUACUUUUUAAAUGUUCACAUGUAUAUCUUUGCAGUCUCCUGCAGAAACCCUCUCUCCCACAGAGAUGGCAUAAUCCUAACUAAGUUGCUAAAACUUCCCUAGAUCCUAAGAAAAGCAUUCCCUGUUUACUUCACAGGGAGUAUAGUCUAAGCCACACACCCCCAUCGGCCCCAAGAACAGCCCCCUCCAAGUGGCAGCCAGAGCCAUCUGCCAUCUGUAGUCCCUCUGUCCUGUCCCCCAGCUGCGAGUCCCACCACGUAGUCUCCCUGAAAUAUGGCCCAGGCACAGAUGGAAGUGUCUCCUUCAUCUCCACGGAAUGUUUCUGGGGGCUGGAAAGUCUGACAGUCACCCUGAGGGAAGGCACUCUCCUCUGCCUACCUCCAUGCCAGCCCUCAGGGAGGUUUCCUGGAUGAUCCCUAAGAGGAGGCAAGAUGGAUCUGGGAGGAGGGAAUGAGUAGAUUCCCAAGACAGCUUAAAACCCAAAGAGAUUUUACGUUCAACAUUAAUUAAAUGUCAUUUCUAAAAUUUUUAAAUCCCUGGCACUGUGAGAAAGAUUUACAAUGCUAAAGCAAAAAGGGCUUCUGAAAAGUAAUUAUAAAGGCUUAUAAGUUAAUAAUGGCUUUGUACCUUGUACUACUACAGCUAAUUCCAUUAUCUUAGAAACUAAAAACUAAUGUUCAGUAACUUGGUGAAUGCCUCAAUCUGAAGCUUCUGAAAGAACGGUGCCAACAGCCUUCUUGGCCACCACAUCAUGUUAAGUAAUUCUCUCCUCCAGGAAGCCAUCCCAGAAUAUCUCUCACCAAGUCUGAGUCAUCCAUUCACUCUAAACACCACCCACCCCACUCCCCCGACACACACACUGCCUUAAUGUUCCUCUACUUCUUCCGGAAGAAUCUUAAAUUAACACAAGAGUGCAUUAUUUUAGCACCUAUAAAAGGAUCAGCUGAGUGAUAUUAGCCAAAAGGAAUGAAUGAACUGUUUAAGGUGUCAAAGCACUACAAGGGUCAGAGAGGUUCUGAGCAGGAGGCACUUUUGUAGCAUCCUUCAAAUCACACCAAUUCUGUCUUCUCCAGAGAUGACCCUUAAUAAAUGUUUAGUUAUUUAAAUAUAAAAUAAUUUGCUGAUUCUCCCCACCCCCAGAAUGUUCAAGGGAAAAAAAAAAAACACUGUUUUUCUUUUCCAUAAAAGAAAUUCCUAGUAUAGACCCCUAGCUCAGGGCAGCAGGUCAACAAAAUACACUUGACCACACACCAGCCAGUCCCCCCUUCUCUCCCUCUGAGCUGAUGCAGAUCAGAAGGAAGCCUGCAAGGUCUGAAAUCUGACCUUCCAUCUGCCACUUGAUCUUCCAUCUGCCACUUCCCCAAUUCAAAAGGGGCUAGGGGCUGGAGGAUACAGCAAGAAAGAUCUCCAGGGAUCCACUUGGUGGUGAGCAGAUGUUAAUUUGGACUCCAAAUAGGAUAGAGUAACUCUGCUUCAAAGCAAGAGGCCUAAGGUCACAGUCAAAGACACUUUGGUGGACAAAGGAGAUUCCAAGAUGUUACUGAACAGUCCAACAUCUGACUCUGCCUCCAGGAAUCUACAGUAUAGGUACAGUAGUCUCUCCUUAUGCGUGGUUUUAUUUUCCACAGUUUCAGUUACCUGUGAUGCAAUAUAAUAAGAUAUUUUGAGAAAGAGUGAUACCACAGUCACAUAACUUCCAUUAUAUUGUUAUAAUUGUCCUAUUUAUUAUUAGUUAUUGCUGUUAAUCUCUUACUGUUCCUAAUUUAUAAAUUACAGUUUAUUGUAGGUAUGAACAUACAGGGAAAAAACAUAGUAUAUUUAGGAUUCAGUACUAUCUGUGGUUUCAGGCAUCCACUGGGGAUCUUGGAACGUAUCCCCCUCAGAUAAGGGGGAACUACUAUAUUCUCAUCAUCAUUUCUGGACAGAAGAGAGGAAAGGAUACAAGACUUAAGAUAAGAAAAGCUAGAUUAGAACCUAAUUAUGCAUACCAUUAUCCAGGCUGAAUGACUUUGUCAAGUCACUUAACUUAUUUCAGCCUCAGUUUCCUGAUCUGUAAGAUAGGAUCUAUACUAUUUUGAAGGUUGAGAUAAGCACUUAGGACAGUUCCUGGCACAUAGGAAGUACUUAAUCAAUAUAAAAAAAAUUACUUAGUGAUAAUACAACCAUUAUCAACAGGCCACAUUCUCCAAGUUCUUUUUCCAGUACAAGGACUAGAUUUUUACUAUCUGUCUAUGCUAUUUUUGCUGGCCCUUGCAUGACUAAUAAAAUGCUACUAAAAGACUACCAGCUGGAACAGAAGAUGUAGUCUCUAGCCAUGACCAAAGAGAAGAUAUCUGGCCACCAGAGGGAAGAGAGCUGGGCUGCAGCCUUGGCCUCAUGAAUAUAACAUCCAGGCCAACUAAGCCAGCAGUACCAUACGGAUAUUCUAAAACAUCACUGUCACUGUAAGAUAAAUAUGCACCAUACCCUUCAUUUGAGUACAGAAGUUUUAAGUCACCAAAUUUGAUUCUUUGUGGACCAUACACUGAUAAAUAGAUCUUAUCUUUAAAAAUGCAUCCCCAUUUUUGUUGACAAUCCUGUCUCCCACAGUGAGAAAUGUUCCUGGAACCAGGGUCUGUUUCAGGAAACCAAUUUAAAUUCAUGAAGCUUCUGGUAUUUAUGAUAAAAUGAAAGUAAAUCUAGUUGAAGCAAAGACCUACAUUCCCAAGACAACUGACCAUUCAUUUAUUAGUUGCUGCCCCUAGCUAACACCCAAACCACAAGCUGCCGUUGCUCGACCUCCCUGCAGGAACCCUGGUCAUUCAGAAGUACCAGGGUGAAGCUGAAAAAGAAGGGGGAACAAAUAGCUUUAAAUCAAGGGACACACCCUCUACAGCCAAGGUCAACACCCAGGAAGGGCAGCAGGGCUCGGACAGUGGCAGAAAGACUCCACCCAUACAGCACUUUGAACAGAAGCUCUCUUCCAACUGGAGGCAUAGAGCUAGCUGCUAAUCUGACGGACGCCCAAAACAGAGAAGUGGGUAAAAAUAAAAUUACGACUGCUCCCGUGAGAAGGCCAGGAAGAGAACAUAUCGAAACAAUCAUGGCCUGCAGCCCUGCCUAACACCAGUGCUGCUAAGUGACCUCAGCCAAAGGCAGGAAAUGAUUGAUCAAGUUACUUUUCUUGCUCAAAAUAUCCCAAUGGCUGCCCAUAGACUACUGAAUAAAAUCCUAGCAUGGGACCGAAAGCCCACCCAACCAACCUUUCCAGCUUUCUCUCUCAAUAUUCCUAAUCUCCUUCAUACACAUUCACAAUGUGUAUAAACACACAUCCACCACAUAAAGACUAUUUCCCAAAUUCUCCCUUCUUCUCUAGGCCUCCUCUAUCUCCACAAGCCCAACUUUUACCCAUCCUUUAAGGCCCUUUCAAGAUCAAAUCCACAGCUGAAAUUCUCCUCCUCAUUUUCUCUGCUCCCAUGGCACUUUCUAACUGGGUAAUGUCUUCCCUUCACUGUCAUUCUCAUGAAGACAAAGAUUCUGCCUCUCUUGUUCACACUCAUAAUAGUGCCUGCACAGGGUAGGCAUUCAAUACAUAUUUGUUAAAUUGGGGAAUACUACCUCACUGACGGGAAGUUUCUUCUGUGACUUGAGUUUCCUAGCCUUCACCAGACAAGACAUCCCAUUAACAGAGGCAAUCCAAAUUCCACUGGCUUUGGCCUGAUCUUCUUCCUCAUGUUGCACCUCAGCCCCUGAAAAGUUUCAUCUCACUAUGUCCAGGAGCCCCACUCAUAUCUCCCCAUGCUCAUUCCUGCUCACAAAGCAUUGUCAGCCGUACCUGCCAUGUCCUUCCUCUGCUGCUCUGGCUGCCCGCUGUUGCUGGAGGAUGCCUGGGGUGCCCUCUGUGAGGACACCAGUGUCGGAUCCAGAGUGCUUGCUCCAGGGUUCUCAAAUCCCCAAUAUUCCAAGUGCCAAGUAGCCUGAGUUCCCGAAGUCUUCACUAUGCCAGGAUCAAGCCUUGAUGGAAGCUAAGUCCAUCUUCCCCACUGUGUUCACAAGAUCAGCAUCAUCUGUCCCCAUAUGUCACACAGAGCCCUCAUGAAAACAGCAGACAGCUCCUUCAACUUUUGCACAGGGUUCCUCUCCUCAGGGCUCAGAUGUGAGCCCACGGCAUUGGCUAAAGAAGAACCCCUGGGAAAAAGAGCUCAUGGUAUCCCCAAAUCCCAUUUCUCUCUUCCUCCCAUCCAAAUCCAUCAUACAAACAGGUACCAAGGGGUGCUUGCCUCUCUGAUGAAAUGGCCAGAACAUAUCCAAAUGCCGAUAAUGGCCACUUUGAAGACUGAAGUUACACUUCUACCUCUACAUAACUGUUCUUCCAACCUGCUCCCUCAAGCCUGGUCCCUCAUCCAGCUGCCUGAGGUGGUGACAAAAGGCUGCCUUUUAACCCUUUCUCUUACCUUUCUCCUUUUAAAAAUAUUUCCACCCAGGGCCUACUCUCUACCCUUCCAGCACUACCAAAGACCCUGUUGCCUCAGCUCCUUCCUUUCUGGGUUGAGACAGAUAUUCACCAUGGCCCUUGGAUCCUUCUCUCCUUAAGUGGUUGAUAAGAACGGGUUUCUGAAGAUACUGCCCAGAAUAUGAUGAUUUAUCGAUGCUGACGCCUUCUAAUGCCUGCCAGUUCAUGUAUUUAUUAUUCUGGGCUGGGCCACUCAAGCUCUUAAUCUUAGGAGAAGGAACUCCAGUGAGGCAGGAUGUACCUUGAGCCUCGCAGGCUGAGCCAGCAGGAGAUAGCAGGGCACCUGCCCCCUCUGAGGCAGCCCAGCUCAGCCACCUGGCCAGUAGUCUCCAGGUGAGGAGGCGGGGCCUUAAAAGAAACUACCAAUGGCUUCACUCCUGCAGGAAACAUAUCCCAGUCACAAGCAGGUACACAGGUACAGCCUGAAGCUGAAGUUUCCCCCAGGGCCUUGGGCCACACUUCAAGAGAAAUGGAAGUUAGUCAUCGACUCUCUUCCAAUUCAACUUUUGAUUAUCCUCUUUCAAAGCCCAGAUCCUCACAUGCAUAUUCUAUCUCCGUACCCUUUCAAAACCUGCCUUCCUAAGCCUUCAGUCCCCAGAGCACCUUAUAACCACUCCACCAUCCCCUUCUCAUCCAAAAGUUAGAUUUUAGGCAAUACAGGUUAAGAAUUAAUAACUAACACUUAUUGAGCCUUUAACAUGCGUAACAUCACCUAAUCCUUACAAUAACACUAUAAGGUAAACAUAGGAUAUUAUUGGCAUCUUACAGAUGAGGAAACCAAGGCCUAGAGAGGCUGUGACAUGCCCAGUGUCACACAAUAGUAAGUGGUAGAGCUAUGAGCUAAACCAGGCUGUUUUUAUUUCAAAGCCUCCUCCCACUUAACUACUCAGCAUACUGCCUGAAAAGCAAGCCAAUCAGCUAAACAAACCUCGUCACUGGGCUUGACACAUCCGAAUUUAUUAACUAUUUUUCCUUUGGUUUUUUUAAAGGAGUCUGGUACAUAAAUCAACAGCUUUAACUGGUGGGAUUGAAGAAUGAAACGGCAUGGAGGUAAUCAAAGGAGACAUGCAGUUAUGUAGUACAUGAAAGUAUAUCUACAAGUACAUGUAGAUACACUUUCAAUUCACUUUUACCCUACUUGUCCCCACCCUCCCCCAAAACCCAGCUGUACUCAGCUGCUCGUGACCAAAAAUAUCACCCCAUGCCUACUUUCAACCUGCUUGGCACACUUCCUUUGGGUAUCUUCUUUGAGGGACUUUCAAGAGCUAGCAACCUGUGGCAAAUGACAAACUAGGAAGGGGGACUUCUAAGAUGAGAUCAAGCCAUAGAUAUAGGAUAUGGAAAACAGAAGGUGGAAAGAUGGACCCCAAACCUGUGGAAGGCUAGUGUUCAGGAAUUGGACCUCUGCUCAUUAGAUACUCCAGUGGUGCAGUUGGGGACAGGCAGGAUAAAUUCCUAUCUCUCUCUGGGGCCUCUUGUCCAAACAGGAGGAUCUGGUUUCUGAACUUCUGGGAGCAAGCCAGAACUUGGAAAAGAUCAUCUUUGUACCUUCAUACCUCGCCUUCUGUGGUCUCCUGCUCCCAGGUAACAAAGGCAGGUAUAUUAGAUCAAGAAAAACCUUCUGCCCUGCUAGGGAAGGGAUGCUCAUGUUUCCAAGUUUUUGGAGGAUUCUUUUUUUUUUUUUUUUUGUGAGAUGGAGUCUCACUCUGUAGCCCAGGCUAGAGUGCAGUGGCAUGAUCUAGGCUCACUGCAGUCUCUGCCUCCCGGGUUCAAGCGAUUCUCAUACCUCAGCCUCUCAAGUAGCUGGGACUACAGGUGUGCACCACUGCACCUGACUAAUUUUUGUGUUUUUGGUAGAGGCAAGGUUUCACCAUGUUGGCCAGUCUGGUCUCGAAAUCCUGACCUCAAAUGAUCUGCCCGCCUCAGCCUCCCAAAUGCUGAGAUUACAGGCAUGUGCCACCGUGCCCGGCCAGGAUUCUUAAGCCUUAAUAUUUUCUUUCUUCUGCAAACUGCAGCCCACCUCUACCAGGAGCACUUGGAAGGACCCAGCUCAUUCAGUGGAAUCAUGACUGCAUCAGAUCUAUUCCUAUUUUGUACAAUAUGCAUUUAUAGAAGUAAUUUGUAAUAUGAUUAAGUUUGGGGAGUGAAUUUCCAAUAAAGCCAUUCUUCCUGCUAUAUAUCUUUUUAAUAUUUUUGAUUAAAUAAAUUUAUUAUAUUUUGAACACAGAGUAUCCCAAAUUUUUCCAGUUUUUAAGUUACAAAGUGUGUUUUCAAUGAACAUGCCCCCUAUAUUUAUGAAUCCUUUCUGUAUUACGUUUGGCUCUAUAUUUUCUUGCACCAUUCAGAGCACGUAGGUCUCAAAGUAGAACAAGAACCAUGACUAUGCUUCUUAAUCUUUAAUCCUGAGCACAGACUGUGAUAGACACAGUUGGUUGCCUACCCAGUGGCCAUUAACCCCCUUCUUCCUUGCUUACAGACCCACAUUUUGUUAAGAAAUCAAGCAUCCAUGUGCUUCAGGGGACGCAAAGACAACUUCAGUCCCACAGGGUAAAUGCUGACUACAUUACACCAAUCACGGAAAUUGCAUCCCCUUCCAGUGACUUGUUUUGGAAUUGGUGGCAAAAUAAUGGCCUUUGAGACAUGAGGAAACAUCUCCUGGAGGACAUCUGGGAAAGGUUUUCUUGCUUUAAAAUAUAUGCAUGAAGAAACAGGCUCUUUCAGUUGUUAUCGGUUCUGCAUGUAACAUAUGGAGUUACGGCAGCCAUCUUGGGACUAUCAGGAUGGUAGAAUGGAAAGAUGUAAGGUAUUGGGGUUCUAAGAUGGUCUUUUCUUGUAGUGGCAGGCUGGGUGAUUAGGACCAACCUUCCCACUGAGGACAAUCAUUUAUAUUUGUUUUUAUUUUCUCAAAAGCAUUAAAGAGCUAACAAGAUAAAGAAUUUCUAGGUCAAAACCUAGGAGAAGUUUAAAAUCCAAAGAGGAAGGCCCAAAACACACAAAAAAAGCUUUUGCCUUGAGAGCAUUUGCCAAUCUGCAAGAAACAAUAGUAUUUAGUUUAGUAGCAAAACUAAGCUGUGCUUUUGGCAACCAGGAGGAGUAGGAAAGCAGAAAGCAACAUCCAGGGCCUCUGCCCCAGAAGACUUUGAUAAACAACAUUCACUCUAAGCUAGGCUUCCUCUCAGAGGGGAAGCUUCACCCUCAAGAUAAAGGUAGCCUAGAAUAAACUAGCUGUUAAUGCAAACCUGAAACCCAGUUGACUGCAACCUAGGUCGAAGGAAUCUUAAGCAUUUUGUUAAGGUAGAACUGGACUGGUGGUAUCCCAGGGGCUGUCAAAAGAAAAUAAAAAUCAUUGCAGAAGAAUGUUAUCAUUCUUGGCUUCAAGGCCAGUGAUCAAGAUACAAAGAUAAAAAACACAAGGAAAAAGUAUACCAUGAAGAAGGAUCAUCAGGAAUAGCAGAAUACAGAAAGAGACCCACAUUUGUGGUAAUCAUUUCACAAUGUGUGUGUGUGUGUGUGUGUGUGUGUGCGCGCGUGUGUAUAUAUGAAAUAUAUACAUAUAUACAUACAUAAAAAUGGAAUAUAUUUACCAUGUACCACAUGGUAUAUAUAUCAAAGUAUGAUAUAUAUGUCAUAUAUAUAUCAAAGUAUGAUAUAUAUGUCAUAUAUAUAUCAAAGUAUGACAUAUAUGUCAUAUAUAUAUCAAAGUAUGACAUAUAUGUCAUAUAUAUAUCAAAGUAUGACAUAUAUGUCAUAUAUAUAUCAAAGUAUGACAUAUAUGUCAUAUAUAUAUCAAAGUAUGACAUAUAUGUCAUAUAUAUAUCAAAGUAUGACAUAUAUGUCAUAUAUAUAUCAAAGUAUGACAUAUAUGUCAUAUAUAUAUCAAAGUAUGACAUAUAUGUCAUAUAUAUAUCAAAGUAUGACAUAUAUGUCAUAUAUAUAUCAAAGUAUGACAUAUAUGUCAUAUAUAUCAAAGUAUGACAUAUAUGUCAUAUAUAUCAAAGUAUGACAUAUAUGUCAUAUAUAUCAAAGUAUGACAUAUAUGUCAUAUAUAUCAAAGUAUGACAUAUAUGUCAUAUAUAUAUCAAAGUAUGAUAUAUAUGUCAUAUAUAUAUCAAAGUAUGAUAUAUAUGUCAUAUAUAUAUCAAAGUAUGAUAUAUAUGUCAUAUAUAUAUCAAAGUAUGAUAUAUAUGUCAUAUAUAUAUCAAAGUAUGAUAUAUAUGUCAUAUAUAUAUCAAAGUAUGAUAUAUAUGUCAUAUAUAUAUCAAAGUAUGAUAUAUAUGUCAUAUAUAUAUCAAAGUAUGAUAUAUAUAUGAUAUGUAUAUCAAAGUAUCAUGUGGUACAUGGUAAAUAUAUUCCAUUUUUAUUUGUCCAUUUUAUCUCAAUAAAGCCAGGAAAAAAAAUCAACCCAUAAAGACUUCAGAUAAUGGAAUUAUCAAACAAAAAACUAUAAAACAAAUAGGCUUACUAUGCUCAAUGCUCAAAGAAACAAAAGAUAAGCUUGAAAGUAUUUUUCAUAAAAUUGGAAACCAAAAGAAAGGUGAUUUGGGAAAUAAUUAAAUAGGGAAGGGAUUUUAGCACUAAAAAAUACAAUAAUUGAAAUUAAGAAGUUAGUGAACACAUUUAAUUGCAGAUUAGACACAGCUAAAAAGAGAAUAAACUGGAGGAUAUGUCAGAGGAAAUUAUCUAGAAUGCAUCAAAGGGAGAUAAAAAUAUCUAGAAUAAUAAGAAAUAUAGACUAUACAACGAGAAAUUGCAACAUACAAUCAGUUGAGAUCUCAAAUGGAAAGAAGAAAAAGAACAGAGAUAAUAACUGACAAUCUUCCAAAAAUGACGAACUACAACAUUUUAUAGAUUUAAGAAAUCUAAUUAACCUAGGCAGACUAAAUAAGAAAGAAGCUAGUGAUGAUGUUGAGCCUCUAAUUCAAUUGCCCAAAUUCUAAACUUCUUGUUAAGAGAAGCAGGAGAAGGAGAAGCAGGAGGAGAAGUGAAGGCAAGAGGAGAAAUGCAUUUAUUGCUUAUGCAUUUUGAGUUUGGGUUGAAUUACCUGCAGCCAAAAGCAUCCCAAAUUAUAUUCAUGGUGAGAAUAAAGUAGCCACCAAUUAUUGAGUGCUGACUAUGUGUACAUACGCAUUUUGUGUAAUCCCCUGCAAAGCCUUAUGAGGUAGUAUAUUAUCAGCCAAGGCAGGCUAGGUAAGCUACAGAUACAAACCACCCCCCAAAUCUUAGUAACUUCACAGAAAAUAAGAUUAAUAUUUGCUCAUACUACAUGUUCAACUUGGUUCAGUAGAGAGCUGUGAUCAUCAUAGUCACUCACAGUCCCAGGCUGAUGAAGGAUUUAUCCCAACAGAGCUACAAUCAAUUAAACAAUGGAAGGAAGUAAACAGUAUAUUGGCUUUUAAAGCUUCCACUUGGAAAUGAAAUACCUGACUUCUGCUCACGUUUCAUUGGCCAAAGCAGGUCACAUGACCAAGGAUGUAGAGAAGUACAAUCUAACUGUGUGCCCAAACAUGUAGGCAGCUAGAAGUACUUAAUGAAUGGUACUAAUGACUACCACAGGUAGAUAUUAUCCUAAUUCUCUGAAUAAAGAAACUGAGACUCAGAAAAGUAUUUAGUCACUAGUUAAAUGAGUCAAGAAUAUACUAAUUAAUACAUUUUCCUGGAGGAGAUAUUAACAUGACUAUCUGCCUUUUGGUGGCUGGAGUAGUGAGAAGAGAAAUGUACCAGUGAUAUGAUCUCUAAGGAGCCAAGCAGAGUACCCAGUUGGGUCUUAUCCUUGGCUAUCCCAGAAUCACUACCCCCAGGGCAGAGUAUGGAACCAAGGUAGCAAGGGGCAAAUAUCCUAAUCCUUCCUUUGUUCCUUGUGCUAAGUGGAGCCUUCCCUGCAAGGAUAAGACUGGACUGCAAUUGGCCAAACAGACAGUAUACACAUAUAUGUACUGUGGGCUCCCAUUAUCUUAUAUAUUCCAGGUGUUCAAGAUGUGAUUAACAGAGUGAGGGGCGGAGAAGCCACAUAAUCAGAUUGGUCAUGCCAAGCUUGUUAACUCUGAUCUGUGUAGGUUCAGAAAGCUUGCCAAAGCAAAGGAGACCCAUUCUGUCCAAACACAGAAGGAGCUGUCUUGCUCUCUUAAGUCCUCAAGACCUUCCUAUGAGCUGGAUUUUCCAGCCUGUAAUGUACAGAACAUUCCCUACCUCCUUCCAUACCUAAUGAUGACACUGUCUACCUCCUCCCUCCCAGCACCCCACAUCUGUUGGCAAGCUCUCUUGGCUGCCCUUCCUGCUAUGUAUGUGCUGCCUCUGCCAGCGCAGUCCAGCCUCCUCCAGACACAGCAGCAUUUGUCUGGGAUUCUCUCCCUGUGGCAGGGAAAGAGUCAACACCAGGGUUCUUACUUAUUUAUUCCUUCCCAGGCAUGAGGCAGCAGUUAAGGAGAAGGGAGUUAAGGACAGGGAGGACAAGGCCUAGAAAAGAAGCUCUAGGGGGCCAGGUUGGUGGGGAAAAGUCUCUAUAAUUUCAACUGCGUUCCAACCACAUUGUCUCUAGCUGAGCCCCCUGGGUGAAAGGUCUGUAUAUUACCGAGGAUGGGAGAUUGUAGUCUUAAUUAUGUCUUGAAGCAUUUGGCUGUGUUCAUCCUGAAACUUCCAACAGGAAAAAAAAAAUGUGGUUUCCAUUACACUAUCACUGAGGGACUUGUACUGGGGUUGGGAUCAUUAAAAUGAAAACACUGAUGAGUAAGCCAUGGCAUUUUGUCUCUAAGACUUAACGUCCUUCCUCCACCCCUAGCCCUGUACUUUAUUUUGAGACAAGCUUAAAAUAGUCUAUAAAAUAUGGAGCUCAUUAUCCCAUCUAACAGAUUUCAUUUAGCAUGAAAGUAGAUUAAAAGCCCCAUGCCAAUUAUUCCUCCUAUCCUGGGUUUAUAAGGAAGAUACUCCUCUGGGUUCUUUAGAGCACAAUUCUGCAACAGCCCAGGAGAACCAAGAAGUGCCACUUGCAACCCCACUCAGCUUAUUUUUCAUAGUGAUAACAAGGAAGGAUAGAGAAAUGCAAUCCUGCUUUUGGAGCUUCUUAGAAAUUUUGCCUGGAGCCUUUAAAAGCUGAACCCAAACCAGAUAACCCUCAAACACAUGAAUUCUCCAUUCUGUCCACAUACAAUGACUACAUCAAGGCUACUGAGCACAGUAAAGGGGUAUAUAUCGGGGAAUAUAAUGGAAAGAGGUCUCAAUUUGGAGUUUUUUAUUCUGGCUUCACAUCCAGGCUCAGCCGAUAAUUGUAUGACUUUGGGGAGUAAAAUCAUUUCUUUGAGCCUCAGUUUCCUCAUCUUAUCUCUUCCAACUUCAUCUUUCUUAUUUUCCAGGUACAGGUGUCAUCUCCUCUCCACAGUCUUCUCCAAGGCCCAGCACAAGGCUUUAUAUAGAAGGGAGGAGGAACUGAUGUCUUGAUUGCACUGACAGUACCCUCUGAGCUGGCCCUUGGAGGUGAGUUUGAUGAUAAGAGUAUCCAGGUGAGGCUCCUCUCCCUUGCUGCUAUACUUUUCAGUCAUGGGUCCUCUCUCAGUCCCCUCAGUUUUCUCAUGUAUACAAUGAGAAUAACACCCUCCCACAACAUCACAGGGUCAUCGGAGGUUUGAAUGAAGCAGUAAGCACCUAUCCAAGGUCUUGAACUAUUCCACCUCUCCAGUCUGAGCUCAUGACACUGCCUGUUCUUUUUUAAGAAUAUCAGGACCAUCUGAACUGCAUUUCCUCAUUUUUCACUUUUUCUACUUAAAAAUCAUUUUCUAAGCACUCUUUCUUCCUUCCUUACAACAGAGGAAGUGUUCCCCCUCCUCCAGUCUACCACUUCCAUCUGCACUCUUUGUUCAAUCCAUUCCUACCUCCUCCAGGUCACUGCUUCACUUUAGAGCACUUAUCACAAGCUGUUAUUGCAAAUUCAACUGUUACUUUGACUUGUGUAUUGUCUGCCUUAGUCACUAGAAUGUAAACUCCAUGAAGAUUUCAUGCCUUAUUCAUGUUAUAUUCCAGCAAAUAGCACUGUCCCUGGAAUACUGUCAGUGCUCAAUGAAUAUUUAUUGAAUGGAUAAAUAAAUUCAUUUCUGUUUGUCAUCUUUAAACUUCUAUCACUGGUCCCUUACCCCAGCCUCAAACACAUUCAGGCCUUCCUCCUUGAACAAAAUCAUCACUUGACCCUAAUGUCCCACCAACCACCAUUCUAUUUUUACCUUUCAUUUUCUGACAUAUUUCUCAAACAAACAAUAUGUGCUUGCUGCUACCUCAUCUUCACCACCUCCUCCCACUGCAAUCUGGUUUCUUCUCAUUGAGGUGCUGAAACAAUGCUGUAAGUAGUCACCAAUGCCUUCUGUCACCAAAGCCCUCAACAUUGCCUCCUCUCCACGCACAUGGAGCUCCCUAACUCUCCUUCUCCUCUAUUCCCACGAAAUUAUUAUGUCCUGGCUCUCCUCCUACCCUUAAGGAAUACUCUUCGUAUCUCUCUUAUCCUGUCUCCCUUGUCAAUACUUUCGAAAAACAGUCUACACUACUCUCACUUUUCUCUAUGCUGUCUUCCUUGAGCUAAUACCAGUUUCACCAUCACUUCUUGGCAAAUGACUCAAAAUAUUCAUCUCCUGCCCUGACUUCCCCCUAGAAACACAAACCUACUUUAAUGCAUGAAUGAAUCAGGCAUCUUGUAAUCAUCUAAAACUCAAAGUUUCUAAAUCCCUUUACCAACACCCCAAGUCCUACUCAUCUUUUCAGACUUUUAGUGUAACAGUUGCCACUCCUCAAGUCAAACCUAAGCAUGAAAGCUUCAAUGACCCUUUAAUAUGAAGAGUAAGAAAUCCCUGUUGCUUUCUCUGACAUUAUCUUUUACAUCCUUCUCUUCCUUCCUCUCCAUAGGCCAAUGCUUCCUUCACAUCCAUUUUCUUUUUCUCCAGUUGUCUUUAUGCAUUCAGAUUCAUCUUUAAAGAACAUGACCAGCACCAGGCUCUUAUGCUCAGAAGUUCCCCAUGACCCUUGCUCCCUCUUGUGUGCCUUACCUUCCUGAUACACUGACCUGCCCCCUUUUCUUUAGCUAUCCAUCCCCUUCAACCCACUUUGUGCUUCUGCCCAUGCUUUACUGUCUAGAAUGUUUGGCCCCACCUUCUCCACCAAACAAACUCCUAUUAAUCCUGCACCCCAAGCUGAACUAUCAGAUAUUCCGAGAAGACUUACUUCUCCAACCCCUCUAGGCAAUUAGCUGUUCUGUCCUCUGUGAUCCUAUGCAAGCCUAGGUAAUUGCACUUACCAGUUUUGUUGUAAGGUCCUUUUUACACAUCUGAGUCUCUCCUUAAACCAUAUGAACCCAGUAGUACUUAGUCUACUGGCUGGUACCUUGGUACUGCUCAAUACCUUUUCUAAUUGAAUGCUACAACUCUGGAACCAUUUGCCCUUAACCCAACAUGCCAAUGCAAGAAUCUUCACAAGGUAGCCCCAAUCUGUCCCUCCAACCUUAACUCUUAUCACACAGAUGCUCCAGGCAGUCUGAUUUAGUCUUCAUUCCCCAAGCACACCCUGUAUUUGCUGAUUUCCAUCCUCGUAAUUCAGGGCUACUAAAGCUUAACCCUGUUCUCUCCUUUUUAUCCUGUCAUUGCAUUAUCUAUUGUGUUAUUUGUUAUUGUCUACUUCCCCCAUUGAACCAUAACACUUCACGAAGACAAGAAGACUGUCUUCUUUAGCAUUGUAUUUCCAGAGCCUUGGGUAGAGCAAAGCACAUAGUAGGACCUUAGAAGACAUUUGUUGAAUACAUGAACAUUUCUUCUUUCAUUCAGACCCAAUUAUUUCUCUCUUGUAAAUUCAUAGCACUCAUCUAGCAACUUAACAUGAAAGAGUACCUGCGGCAUCACAAAGAUAUAUUAUAGGUAUUAUAGGUAAAUAUUUUGUAGGUAUUGUCCACACAGAACCAUGAAACAUUAGAGCUAGAAGAGCUCCCCCUUAUAAGUAUCACUUGAAAGAGGGCCAACAGAGAUGCAGAGAUGUUACUGUUGAUUCUUUUUUUUUCUCUCUCUCUUUUCUUGGAGAUGGAGUCUCGCUCUGCCACCCAGGCUAGAGUGCAGUAGCGUGAUCUCAGCUCACUGCAACCUCCACCUCUCAGGUUCAAGCAAUUCUCCUGCCUCAGCCUCCUGAGUAGCUGGGACUAUAGUUGUAUGCCGUCACACCCGGCUAAUUUUUUGUAUUUUAGUAGAGAUGGGGUUUUACCAUGUUGCCCAAGCUAGUCUCCAACUCCUGAGCUCAGGCAAUCUGUCCACCUCGGCCUCCCAAAGUGCUAGGAUUACAGGUAUGAGUCACUGCGCCCAGCCUUACUGUUGAUUCUUGAUCUUUCAGGAGUUUGAAUUGUAAGCUCCCUAAGGGCAGCGAGCUUACACCUAACCCUAAUCACUCCCUGCUCUACCUGGACCCUUAGUAGAGUCUAUUACUACUGCUACUAAUAACAACAACGAUACUAAUUGCUUUGGUGUUUUCUUUGAUAACAAGCCACCUCUGUCCACAAGGUGAAGAGCAAACCCAUCACUUAUACUGGGGAUCCAACUAGCCUUCUGAAUAUCCAGGGACACAGCUGUCCCACUGCCCCUUGGUUCUCAGCAACCACUGAGUAUGCCACCACAGAACAGGCCCUGGGAGGACAUGCCAUAUCUGGGCAAGUGCUGCUUUACUGUUCUCACAUCACAGUAAUCUCCACCCCACUGGAUGGAAACACCACACCGGGACCUCACAAAGCAGCUAUCAGUGUCCUUCCCCUAGGACUUGGCCUAGAUACAUCUUGCCUGGGUAGUUCACACCACAGACAAGACAUCCCAAUGAUACGCUCUACUACCUGCUGACAGGGAAGGUGGCUGGGCUCCCAGUUUAACAUGCAUGCUGGAGAGACAGACAGAUGGAGCUCUUCCCAUCUGUAUGGCAGCAGGUAGAGGGGGCAACCCAUCCUAGACAGGAGUCCGGGGUCCUGGAUCUUGACUUUUCCCUUAGCAGCUCUCUGACUUUAACCAAGCACUUAAUCUCUACGAGCCUGUUUCCUAUCUGUGAAACGGGAAGUGAUAUGAUCUAUCUCAGAAAGGCAUAAUGAGAAACAAAGGGGUAAGAUAUUUGGAAUUAUCAAAUAAUUACAUUUAUCUUUUUCCUCCUUAACAAUGCUGUGAUAAUCAAUGGUUCCCUGGAGAGUUCAGAUACUCUGUUAGCCAAAGUUAUUUAUUAGGUUUCCUAUUAGGAUAUAACUUUGAAUUAGGUAUCUAGGUGAAAAUACAAAGGAUAGUGGGGACAAGGGCUUGCCCUCAGGGAAACUCCACUCUUAAUGGAGGGAAAUUAUCCCUGACAAGAAACUAAGAUUCCUAAAGCUGCAAAAAUUCAGAAAACAAGCACAUACUUACUGAGUACUUACUGGUACCAAACACGGGUCACACAUAUUAGCUCCUUCAAGGCUCACAACAACCUCCUGAGGUAUGUAUUAUUACUACCCACAGGAGCACAUUGUGAAUUACAGAACACUAGCCAUGCACCUAGUGACCACGAGUCUCUGAACGGAACCAGGUACAGUCAGGGGAUAUUUUUCUGGAGGACAUCAGGGCUAAGAGGUUGGGAGGGAAAAGAAUGUGGAUUAACUAUAAGAAGAGGAGGUUUGGGGCAUUUCAAGAGAAAGCACAAGAAAAUAUGAAGGUUGCUGGUGAGGCUCUGGUAUAGAACAACAGGGAAUUGUUCUGUGAUGGUGUUUCAAACGGGUGUGUGUUCAAACUCUUUAUUAGACAAGAGGCCUGGUCCCUUUAGUAAAGUGAUCUUGUGCCAAAAGCCAAUUAAAUAACUCUAAUAGGUAUAUAUACAUAGAUGACUAUAAAAGCCAAUUUAAAGUAACUUCUUUAUGUAUUACCUGAAUAUUUGGCUCAAAUGAGAAGGUGAUUAAAACAAACUCCUCUAAUUAGAAAAACCCUAGCACAGCAGAAUCACCCAAUGUGCUUUUCAUACACAUGCUGCGUGCUUUUCUCUUCUUUUUCCCACUGAAUAUAAGAAAGAAGGAACAAGUCAUAAAGGUUGGCACAAAGAACCCACACAUCAUGCUGGGCACACAUAUGCAAUAGUUAACAAGAACAGGGUAAGCCAGACCACAGUGGGUAUCCAGAGUCCAUGGCAGGCUAGGGACCAGUUACAAGCAGAUGGCCUAAGCACAGAUACCAAGUCUGACCUGGUUAGGGGCCAGAGCUGUGCAGAUAGCUGAGCAGCAGGCAAGCCAAUGACAGAGCAAGUCAAAGACAGGGUAUCUGUCAGACAUAGAAGAUGAGGAGCCAGAAAAAGGCUGCAGGCAUGGUGAGGAUGAGAGCGAGGAAAAGGAAAGCACAAAGAUCAGGGUACCCUGACAACCAAGACCAUGAGGUCCAGCUGCCUCUUGACUUCUUGCACCUGAGCAGAAUCAAUCCUUGACUUGGAAUGUUUGGGAGAUUUGAAAGUUGAGACAACAAAGAAUGGCCAGACAGGGAGAGGUGAACUUUAGUGACAAACCCAAGUAGAUUCCUGGUCAAAGUAGAGCCCAACACCAUGAAGCCUUGAAAACAGUUAUUCUCCUUACCUCCCAUUUAUCCUGAAGGCAGAAAACGAUUUUUCUUUCUCUAAUUCUGGCAGAAUAUGGACAAUGCCCACCUAAUGCCUUCCUAGUAUGAGUUAUACUAACCAAGGAAGGAAAGGUUUUUGACAUCUACAGUGACAGACCACCAUCCCUACCUCCAAACCCCUCAGCAGCCUGAACUGAGAGCAAUAAACCCAAAGCAAGCUGAGGCCAAACAACCUCCUGGGACACAGGUCAAUUGCUUUUCUGGGAAUAUGAAGGAAAGUCAAGGUUUAUCUAGAAAGUCAUUGAAAAUGGUUGAAGUUUGUAAAGACAGUUGCAUGAGGUGUAUCCAAAAGAUUGCGUUCUUACACAGUUUGUUCCUUAGCAAUGUUCUAUGUGUUCUCCUAUGUUUACUAUUCCCAUGUAGUGACUUGUUUUUCGUUCAUUUUGUUAUUUUGCAACAGAGUUCCUUUUGCCCUUACUCUCUGACAUCCAUGUUAAAGGAUGACAACAAGCAGUUCUCAACUCUGGCUGCCAUUAGAAUCACCUACAGAGGUCUUUAAAAUGCCAGUGUUUAGCCCCCUUUCCAGCUAUUCCAAUUUAAUUGGCUGGAGGUGGAAGUGGGGGUGUUGAAACAGAGGAACUGGACAUUACGCUUUCUAAGAGUUCCCAGAUGAUUCUAGCAUACAUUGAGAGGUGAGAACAGCUGGUUUCUGGUCCAGAAUCCAAAACACUUUGUGGUAGCUACAGGAAUGUUGACAGUCCCAAGAAGAUAAUCUCAUUUGUCUACUUUUGUUUUUGUUGUUUGUGCUUUUGAGGUCUUAGCCAUAAAAUAUUUGCCUAGACUAAUAUCCUGAAGGGUUUCCCUAUGUUUUCUUCUAGCAAUUUCAUAGUUUCUGGUCUUACACGUAAGUCUUUAAUCCAUUUUGAGCUGAUUUUUGUAUAGGGUGAGAGAUAGG